UCUUGACAAUAACCAGAAAAUUCAAACACAAACACAGUCUGUAUCUUCAGUUCAUAAACAUCCCAAUAAACCAUUGGGAUUCAAACACAAAACCAUCACACAAACACAUAUUGUCAGUAUCUUCAGUUCAUAAACAUCCCAAUAAACCAUUGACAUUCAAACACAACCAUCACACAAAUGCAUACUGGCAGUAUCUUCAGUUCAUAAACAUCCCAAUAAACCAUUGAGAUUGUAUUUCAAAGAAGCAAAUUACUCAACCCGUGGCUUUUUCGGCAAACUGGCUAGAUUCAGUUGGUUUUCUUUUAACCCAGCUUCGUCCUGAUCCAGCUUCAGUUUCUUUUCUUUUAAGUCAGCUUCGUCCUGAUCCAGCUUCAGUUUCUUCUCUUUUAAGUCAGCUCCAUCCUUCUCCAGCUUCAGUCUGUCUUUUCUAAUAUUAGCUUUCUUCUUCCACUACACCAAAACAGGGUUUUAGCGGCACUUUCUUAGGUCUAUAGUGGCGUUUUUUAGCGCCGUAAAUACUUUUAGCGGCGCUUCGCAAAGUGCCGCAAAGAUUGCUGCUAAUGACAGCGUCGGUAACUUUCGCGGCGCUUUCUAUGAUAAACGCCGCUAAAGAUCAGGAAUUUUAGCGGUGUUUUUUUUACAACGCCGCUAUAGACCAUGUUCUUUAGCGGCGCUUAAAUAAAAACACCACUAUAGACCGUGAUCUUUAGCGGCGCUUAAAAAAAACGCCACUAUAAACCGUGGUCUUUAGCGACGCUUACCAAAAAAUGCCACUAUAGACCAUGGUCUUUAGCGGUGCUUAACCAACAAACGCCACUACAGACCAUGGUCUUUAGCGGCGCUUAACCAACAAAUGCCACUACAGACCAUGGUCUUUAGCGGCGCUUAACCAACAAACGCCACUAUAGACCAUGGUCUUUAGCGGCGCUUAGGCGAAAAACGCCACUAUAGACCAUGGUCUUUCGCGGCGCUUAGGCGAAAAACGCCAAUAUAGACCAUGGUUUUUCGCGGCGCUUAGGAAAAAAACGCCACUAUAGACUGUGGUCUUUAGUGGCGCUGACCAAAAAAUGCCACUAUAGACCAUGGUCUUUAGUGGCGCUUAGGCGAAAAACGCCACUAUAGACCAUGGUCUUUCGCGGCGCUUAGGCGAAAAAUGCCACUAUAGACCAUUGUCUUUCGCGGCGCUUAGGAAAAAAAUGCCACUAUAGACCAUGGUCUUUAGUGGCGCUUAUGCAAAAAACGCCGCUAAUUUUGGUAGAUUUGGAAAGUUUUUUUUUUAUUUGCAGCCCUCCCGUAAAAACAAAUCAGAAGAAACCAAAUCUAAACCAACCAAAAGUAAUAAAUCUAUAUAAUAUUUAAAAUAAAUGUCAAUAAAUAAAAUAAAAUUCGUAUUAUUCUUACAAAAAUUGUAAAAGUUUAAAUGAUAAUACCAAAGUCAAAAUUGAAGUAUAUUUACACGAUAGUCUAAGACGACGGCGGUUGCGAUUGCUGAAACAUCUUCAUCAUAUUCUGAAGCUGCUGCUGGAGUUUAUCGAACUUUUUAAGUUGUUCUGCUUCCCUCGCCGCAGCCUCUACUUUACUCGCUUUAGCCUCUGCUUCUCUCGCUGCCGCAUCUGCUUUAAGCUGCUGCUGGAGUUCUUCAUGCUUUCGUUGAACCUCAACUUCUCUCGCUGCUGCCUCUGCUUCUCUCGCUGCCGCAUCUGCUUUAAGUUGUAGCUGGAGUUCUUCAUAUCUUUUUUGAACCUCAGCUUCUCUCGAUGUUGCCUCCGCUUUAAGUUGUGUAAUUUGCUCAGUUGUUGUCGCUUGCAUCUGAGAUAUCUGGUCUCUUAACCUCUAAACUUCAGCUUGGGCCUGACUCGCCGAACGCAUGUGUUGUUGCGAGCUGGAUCCAAAAUAUUGGGAUGGGUUAACAAAAGAUCCUUGAAAUCGAACCCGACCAUACCUUUCAGGACCCAAAACUUCAGUGAUAAUUCGGUUAUCAAUGUCGUCAAUAUGAACAGAACUAUCACUGGAAGUAAUCGCUUCGUACUCUACUUUUUUAUCCUUCAGUUUUUCCUAAAAAAUAAAUCACAUAGUUAAGAACGCAAUAUAUAUUAAAAAAACAAAUGCAACAUAACUUAACAAUAUUUGCAUUACAAGAAAUGAAAUAAACCAUUAGAAAAUAAACAGUAUAAAUAAUUAAAAUAAGUCAAACUGUAUUAAGCAAACGUACCAUAAUUUCUGCAGCUUCAGGAGUCAUAGGGUUUCCAUCUUUCUUCCUAUGUGUAAUGUUAAAAAGUUGAAGGCGUCCAACUUUUUGACCCGACAACACUUCCUACAAUACAAUAGUAAAAAUAUUAUUUGAUAGAAAGAAAUAAAUAUCUGCCAGUAUUAAAAAAUUCAAAAUACCUCGGCCUGAGCUACACACGCAAAACUUCUCGACCCAGCUGUGUGCGUGAAUUUUUGUUUCUGCCUACUACUUGNNNNNNNNNNNNNNNNNNNNNNNNNNNNNNNNNNNNNNNNNNNNNNNNNNNNNNNNNNNNNNNNNNNNNNNNNNNNNNNNNNNNNNNNNNNNNNNNNNNNUAAAUACUAUAAACCAAAAUAAUUACAAGAUUUUUGUAGUAACACAUACCUCUCAUUUCUUCGAAGUCCAAAAUCUAACGACCUCUUCCCACUGGUACCUUAGCAUUCCCGGCGGGACAUUUUGUAAUUUCUCGUCGAGUGUUGUUUUUGUCUUAAAAUAGUCUUUCUUUAAAGUGCUCUUAUGGUCUCUCCAUCUUUUUCCCAAUGCCUUCUUUACAUAAGCAUCGGAGACCUCUAGAGCAAAUCUCGCCUAAAAAAAACACAACUUAAGAAAGUAAAUGUAAACGAAACUUAAACCCAAGUAUUAUAAAUGACAUACACGUUUUUUUACCUUAAUGUUAUCGAGAGCUUGGUUCUUGUUACUCUCGGGCACUUUAUGCCAUGACUCGAAGUUAAUUGGCAACAUAUUUGCAUUCUGUGCUAGAAUGCCCAUGUAUCCUGCUAAAAGGCGAGCUUCUGAUCCAACAGGCUGACCAAAGCUAUUACUGGAUACUUGGACACGCUCGACUGGAUCUAGAUCGUAUAAAUCCCUCAGUAGCGUACGUCCGUGAACUCCUCGCGUCCCAGCAGUUUCAGCUAGAAAAUAAAAGUAUUGUAAUAUAAGAAAUUUAAAAAAUAAAAUAAAUAAUAUGUCAACACACAUGUAAGUUAAAUGUUAAAUUACUUUUAGCUUCUAUAGGUUCAAGUGUAACCGGAACGUUCAAAGAUCCAAUAGCAGUUUUUGUUCAGUGCUGUUUGUUUCGGUCGAGUUUGGAGUACCUUGAACAAUACGGUGCGCUCGCACGGGUCUUCUAGGCAUUUUAUCUACAAUAUAAAUAAAUUAGUGGAAAGCUUAAUAUACAAUUACAACAAUAAUAAUAUGUUUAAAAUAGUUUAAAUAUAUAAUAAGACCAAUAUUAUGAUAUGAUAUUACAUAUAAUUAAAUAAUCGUAAAAGCUUACUAUAUUAUAAUCCAUAAAUAUCUUCAUUCGUAUCCUGGCGGACCCAUUGACUGUGUGUACUAGUACUAGGGAUGUUUUCGUUUAAGUUUUGUUCUGGAAAUGGCAAAGUUUGUGUUCUGUCGUCAACGCCAUCUCUGCUUCCACUGCCCAUGUCAAACAAGUCCCUAGGGAUGUUACGAAGCACAACGUACCAACCCUCAUCAAUUGGAUCUUUUGAGUAAAAAACGUGUUUGGCUUGAGAAGGAAAUACGUACGGCUCAUCAAUCAAUUGUUGUCCGGUAUGAAUCAAUCGAGUGAAGUUCACCAUUGUGAAACCAAAUUGAUCUUGCUUAAUUCCACAACCAGUAUUAACAUCGGCCCAAUCACCUCGAAAUAAGACAACUUUCCAUUUUCCGUAGUAAUCCAACUCAAUUAUAUCAGUAAGAAGUCUGAAAUAUUCUACAUUUCCCUCGACAGGAUUGUUGUCCCUAGCACUAGCAUAACUAGUAACUGAGGAAUUAACAACUAUUCCACAAUUUUGCGUUCUCCUCAAUCUCUCGCGAUAUUUUGUAUGAAAUCUAAAUCCGUUUAUGAGGAACGCACUAUAUCUUUUAACCACCAGAUUUGGACCUUGAGAAAGCCAUUUGACUUCGUCGGUCACGUUCUUCCCACUCCAAACCUAUUGUAUGAUAAGUCAACUGAGUAAUUUCAAAUGUUAUGAGACAAGAUUAUAAUUAUAUGUUGAUGAAAGCUACAAUUGCAUACCGUUUCAGUUAACCAUUCAUGGAAAGAUUCUAUGAACAACUUAUUGAUGUCUCGAAGUUGUGUUUUUCGGGAGCGCGAACGAGAUCUCAGUAUUUGUUUGUACUCACUAUGUAAAAAAUAUGUUCAGCUUGUUAGAAGAUAAACAACUGAGGACUAAUUGAUGAAUAUCAAUCAAAUGGUUAAAAGAUAAAUAAUCUUACUUGCGUAAAGGUUCCAUUGAUUCGUGGUGAAACAGAACAUACCGAUGUGCUUGUACCCACGAAAAACCAUCUAAUUCUGCAAUUUCCACUUUGCCGAUUAGUUCUCCAAAACUUUGGAACAAAUAAGUAUCGGCCAAGUUAUGAUCUGUGAGUCCAGCAUUUCUAUUUGGUCUGCUCAACCUUGUUUCAACAUCAUCCAAAUAUUGCGAACAGAAGGUCAUACAUUCCUCUGCUAAGUAGGCUUCAGUAAUCGAUCCUUCUGGAUAACGCUUGUUGCGGUAGUAAGACAUUAAUUUGGAUAGGAACUUAAACACAAUAAAUAAUGUUAUGAAAAGUUGUACUUAAAGGCAUAUAGGGUUUACGGAAGGAGAGUUUUUAAAAUAAAUUAACACAUUUCUAUGGGAUACAUCCAUCGGUGAAAAACGGGUACGCCAAGAAUUGCUUCUCCCGGGAGGUGGUUUAUCAAGUGAACCAUAAUAGUGAAGAAGGAUGGUGGAAAGAUUUUCUCCAUGUUGCAUAAAGUCAAUGCGGCUCUAUCCUGUACCUUCUGAAGUUCUUGAACAUCCAAAAUGGCUUUCAUUAUAUUGGAUAGUUCAAUUAUACAGGACGUCACCUUCUUCGACAUACAACAUCGUAGAGCAACUGGCAGUAAAUCUUGCAUCAAGAUGUAAUAGUCAUGUGAUUUUAGCGAAUACAGUCUUCGAUCUUUAACACUAACACAUCGAGAUAUAUUUGAUGCAUACGCAUCUGGAACCUUUAUAUCCUUCAACACCGUACAGAACACUUCUUUCUCUGUCCUCGACAUCGAAAAAAUUGAAGGCGGCAACCGAUAUUUCCCAUUAGGAAGUGGACUCGGAUGAAGAUCAGGUCGAAUUCCCAUUUGGACUAAAUCAAGUCAACUCUGAAGAUUGUCUUUUGAUUUUCUAUCUACAUUCAAAAUUGUACCCACAAUGUUCUCGCAGACAUUUUUCUCAAUGUGCAUAACAUCAAGAUUGNNNNNNNNNNNNNNNNNNNNNNNNNNNNNNNNNNNNNNNNNNNNNNNNNNNNNNNNNNNNNNNNNNNNNNNNNNNNNNNNNNNNNNNNNNNNNNNNNNNNCCACAAGUCCGCCUCAUUGGGAUCAUCCUCUUCAUCGGAGUCAUCAUCAGCUUCAUCAUUUGAUCUUCUAUUUAUUUGCAUGUUUGUCGGGUGGUUCAUCUUUCCAUAACCGAAAUUUAUAUCUUUCAACAUGAACAAGAUAUCAGAUCCACUUGUCUGCGAAGGAGCUUCUCUGAACUCUUCGGUACCGUCAAAUACUGAACUCUGAAAUCUAAAUCUAUGAUUUUUCGGUAACCACCGACGAUGCCCCAUGUAAGAGAACUUUUUCCCAUUGUAUAACCAUUGCGAACAUGUUUGUACAGCACAACAAGGACACGCAUAACGACCCUUUGGACUCCAACCGGAUAAAUUGGCAUAAGCGGGGAAGUCAUUAAUGGUCCACAUCAAAGCUGCACGUAAAUUAAAGUUAUCCUUUCUCAGCACAUCGUAUGUCUCGACACCAGCCCGUAAUUGUUUUAACUCUUCAAUAAGUGGUUGUAAAUAAACGUCGAUAUCAUUCCCGGACCCUUUCUCUCCAGGGAUAAUCAUAGAUAAGAUAAGGGAAGAUUGCUUCAUGCAAAUCCACGGAGGCAGGUUGUAAGGAACAAGCACUACUGGCCAAGUACUGUACGCAGUGCUCAUGAUCUUGUAAGGAUUAAAUCCAUCGGAUGCUAGGCCAAGCCUCACACUCCUAAGAUCUCUUGCAAAGGUUGGAAAUUUAUUGUCGAAUGAUUUCCAAGCUAAAGAAUCUGCUGGAUGCCUUAAUAAUCCAUCAUCGAUUCAUCCAUCAUGGUGCCACGUCAUUGACUCCGCUGUCCUCGACGACAUGAAAAGCCUUUGAAGCCUUGGUAUCAGCGGAAAAUACCACAAAAUCUUGACCGGCUUCUUUCUUGGUUGUGCAUCAUUUUCAUCGUCGUUCCCGUCUUCUGUGUUUCUAUUUAUCCAACGGGAUUCGCCGCAUACAUGACAGCACUGUUGGUUUCUCCGAUCGCCCCAAUACAACAUGCAGUCGUUCGGGCAACUAUGGAUUUUGUUGUACCCAAGACCUAAGUCUUUUAUCAUUUUCUUCAUAUCUUUGCAUGACUGAGGGAUUUUUGCAAAUAGAAACAUUUCUCUCAAAAACUCUAGCAGCAUUGUCAAAGAGCACAAUGUACCAACCCUCCCAAACAUUUUAACUGGAAAAGACGAACGCAGAAAGCCAUUUUGGAGAAUUUUGAUCCCUCAUAUAGUUCUUCGUUCAUCUCAUUAAGAAGCGCAUAGAACUUCACCACUUCUCCAUUCGGCUCUUCAUGAGGUACACUUGUUCCCCGUUCAGUAAAAGCAUUUGCACCAGCAUUACAAUUAUCAGAUGCCACAAAGUCGGUCGGGAACGACUGAAAACCAUGACUGUGCAUAUUAAAUGCAUCCCGCAACAUACCUUUCAUGUCAUCCCCUCUAUCAGACUGAUGGUAAGCAGUACCAGGAUAAGAUACACCUAUUCUUGAAGAGGAAGUACUAGGCGGGCAUUCUCCAUGGAAAAACCAUUUUUUAUAACCUCGAACAAACCCAUCAACAACUAGAUGCUCGUAUACAACUUCACGAUAAUGCCAGUUUAUGUUGACACACUUGUUACAGGGGCAAAGAAUCAUGUUCUCUUGGCUUGCAUAUUGAAAUGCAAAAUUCAGAAAAGUUUGUACUCCAUUUCUAUAUUCGUUGCUUACCCUUGACAAAUACAUCCAAGACCGGUCCAUUGCUUAAUUAUUGCAAGUCUGAUUUUCAGCAGAAAUUACAAGGGUAAGUUGUUAACUUCAUUGGUAUUGUUUCACUAUCUAAGUUAUCAUAUGAUAUAUAUUAAUAAGUUAUGUCGUAUUAUAUAAGUUAUGUAUUAAAAAUGUAAAAGUAUUAAUAAGUUAUGUAAGUUAUGUAUCAUUUAUCCAUAAAUAUAUUAAUAAGUUAUGUCGUAUUAAUGUAAGUUAUGUAAUUUAUGUAUAAUAUUAAUGUAAGUUAUGUAAGUUGUAAGUUAUGUAAUUUAUGUAUAAUAUUAAUGUAAGUUAUGUAAGUUGUAAGUUAUGUAUAAUAUUAAUUAAUUAAGUUAUGUAAUUUAUGUAUAAUAUUAAUGUAAGUUAUGUAAUUUAUGUAUAAUAUUAAUGUAAGUUAUGUAAGUUGUAAGUUAUGUAUAAUAUUAAUUAAUUAAGUUAUGUAAUUUAUGUAUAAUAUUAAUGUGGCUUCUACGUCUCNNNNNNNNNNNNNNNNNNNNNNNNNNNNNNNNNNNNNNNNNNNNNNNNNNNNNNNNNNNNNNNNNNNNNNNNNNNNNNNNNNNNNNNNNNNNNNNNNNNNNNNNNNNNNNNNNNNNNNNNNNNNNNNNNNNNNNNNNNNNNNNNNNNNNNNNNNNNNNNNNNNNNNNNNNNNNNNNNNNNNNNNNNNNNNNNNNNNNNNNNNNNNNNNNNNNNNNNNNNNNNNNNNNNNNNNNNNNNNNNNNNNNNNNNNNNNNNNNNNNNNNNNNNNNNNNNNNNNNNNNNNNNNNNNNNNNNNNNNNNNNNNNUGUAUAUAAUGCUCAAAUUCUUCACUAAUAGUGCCAUCAAAGGAUAAUGACAAGACAUUUUUCUCAAUUUCCAUAAUUUAGUCAAAUGAUCCUCUUUCGAUUCCAAUUCCAACCAUUGUUGCUUAUAACCAUUGAGAUUGUAAACUUACCAACGCUAGACCACCUCCACAUGCAUUAAUCAAAUCCUAAAUUAUAUUUUAGAAGGGGCACCUCCAUAUGCAUUAAUCAAGCCCUAAAUUAUCUUUUGGAAGGGGAAUCGAAGCAAUCUACAAAAGGAUCGACUAUUCUAAAAGAUAAGCAAAGGAAUCCCAUUUCCAAUUGUCAUGAUUAUCUACCAUAUCGGAGACCNNNNNNNNNNNNNNNNNNNNNNNNNNNNNNNNNNNNNNNNNNNNNNNNNNNNNNNNNNNNNNNNNNNNNNNNNNNNNNNNNNNNNNNNNNNNNNNNNNNNGCUAGCUUCCAUAGUGCUUUUGCUAAUCAAAGGUCUUACAUUAAGCAGCUACCUUUCUAUUAACAUCGUCACACUUCUUCCAUUGUCUACUGACCAACUUAUAUUAGUUCGAAGCAUCUCUUGUACUUUCAUGAAUGAACCUCAAACUUAUAUUACAUUUUACCAUGUACUAAAAUGAGAAUGAGAUAUUAAACCAUAAUAUGUUGAUCGGAAAGGCAAAUGGGAGCACAUGGGAUAAGAAUUAGAGGACCCACAUGCAAAUAUGUCCUUAAAUUUGAAAGCUUUUUCAUGGGAACUUGAAGAAUAUGCAAAUUAUUAACAAAUUUUUCACUACAAGCCUGCAAAUCUAUUUCAGUGAAGGAGAGAAGGAGGAAAACCUGUCGACUGUUGUACCCUAGCGACGGCAGAGAACUGCGGUGGUACAGCACUGUGACGGUCGACGGUUGACGAGCGAGAACAGAAGGGUCGACGAGCAAUGUAGCAGAGAUGGUUGGGGCGCAGCAGCCUAGGGUUCUAGAAUUGGGGGAUUUUUGGGGGAAAAAUCGGGAGCAAUUUUGGGGAGAAAUUUGGGGGGAAUUUCGGCUAAGUGUUGGGAGUAAUUGGGAUGUAAGAGACGAUCUUUUGCGGUGUUUUUAACCUAUCGCCACUAAUGCUGUUAAUGUGGCAGAUAAAACGACACCGUUUAUUUAAAACCGGAAAGAAAUUUUGCGGCGUUUUCCACAUAGCACCGCUAAAUCCAACCUUUAGUGGCGUUUCGACACUUGCGCCGCAAAAGCCAUUCAAUUCUCAAACAAAACUACAUCGUUUUCACCAAAUCUUUAAUAACUUGUUGCGGCAGUUUUGCUAAGAACGCCGCGAAAACUCACAUCUUUUAUUUAUUUAUUUAUUUAUUACCUGUAUCUUUUAUUAACUGUAUCUUUUAAUUACUAAGUAUAAUUAAAGUUUAGCAAUCCUUUUGACAAUGAUAAUACAAUAAUAAUAAAAAUUUAUUAAUUAUUAAAACAAUUGUACACUACUAAAAGUUUACUUUUAUAUUCGUAAUUAACUUUUAAUAUUUUAGACUAAAUUGUUAUAAUUUUUUCUUUUGCUUUCUAGUUCUUAUUUAUUAUUAUACAAAUACAUAACGAAUUAAUCAAGUAUUAUAUUUCAUUACCAAGGAAUAUAUCAAUGAAUUCAAAAUUCCUACAUUUUUCCUAUAUAACACAUUUUAAUAAUAUAAAAGUAUUAAUUAAUUAAUUGUAUCAUUUAACAAGUCUCAAUUAAACCUUAAACCCUAAUUUAACCAUUCAAUAUACAUGCAUAUAUAAAGUUAUCUAUACAGUAUUACGACGUCGUUUUUUUCCUAUCUAACCCAGUUGCGGCGUUUAUACAUAAGCACCACAAAAUAUACAGUCAAUUGCGGUCGUUUCGACAUCAGUUAAAUUAAACUCCUGGCAUUUUCAACCCUAAACGCCACAACUAAAAUACGUAAAACGGCACCGUUUAUAUAUAAAACUUAAACUAUUUGCGGCGUUUUAGGGAAAGCGCCACUAAAGACAAUGCCAAACUACGCAGUUUCUUAACUCAUAAUACACUAUUGCGGCAUUUACAAAAAGCGCCACUAAAUGGAAACAACAAAACGGCGAUGUUUUGCUAACAUUUCAAUAAAAUUAACCGAUAUUUCAAUGAUUUCGUUUAAAUUAGAGAGAAAAUUUUAACUAAUAAUUACACAUUUUAAAAAGAAAAUACAUCAGUAUAUUUUUAUAUUGAAUAAAUAUAACUAUUUAUGUAUGCAAUAUGAAUAAAAUUUUAUUUUAAUUAUAUCAAUAAUUAUGUUACUAUUUUACAAGAUUAUCUGGAUCACACACGAUAAAAGUUAAUGUAUAAAAUAGUUGAACAAUAAAACAUUGUUCGUGUCUGCUUUUGGGAUUUAACCCAUUUUGAUAUAUUUUUUAAAAUAUUAAUUUAUAUUUACAUUAUUUUCAUUUAUAUUAAUCUAGAAUAUCUAUAAUUAAACACAAAAGCCCCAACCUGAAACCCUAAAAUCAUCAACCAUGUUAUUUAUCCGUAACCAUCAAACCCCAAACUAUAAACCACUAUACUGUAAGCCUUAAUUAAUUAAUCGUAAACCCUAAACCUCAAACUAUAUAAACCUUUACCCUAAACCACAAACCCCAAAUCAUAAAACUUAAACCCUAAACCCGUCAAUUAACCAUAAACCACCAAACCACAAAAUCCAAUCCACAAUAUAUCGUACGCAUGAACCGUAAAUCUUAAACCCUAAAUUAACCAUAAAAAUUAAACUCGUAAACCACAAACAACAACCACCAAAUCAUAAACUCUAAACCCUAAACUUGGCCACCCCUAAAGUCUAAACCGUAAGUCAUAAACCAUAAUCCUAAACCAUAUCUUUGAAAAUUCGGGUGCCCAAUGUGUUAGUUUAGUACAGAACAUAUAUUUUAUAUUAUUUAAUUAUUUAAUAUAGGUGUGCUACAACGUGGCAUGGAUCCCAGUAAAAUUAAAAUGUUAUUCUUUAAUUAGUUUUCAAAUAGUAGUAGAUAUAUAUCUUUAAACCUUAAACAUCAAACCUUCAAUCCCUACCCCCAAAAUAGAAAAUAGUAUAUAUACCAAAAACCCUAAAACUCUGUAGCAAAAAUAAUGGAAAAAUAAAUCCUAAAAUAAUGGAAAAAUAAAUUAAGUUUCUUGUGGCGUUUUUAAUCUAAAGCGCCACUAAAAAUUACUCUAUAGCGGCGUUUCCAAAUAAGCGCCGCUAAUUAAUCUAUACAUGAAGCCGUAACGAUGCGUUUUGGACAAAUUUUUUGCGGCGCUUAAGCAAAAGCGCCACUAAAAGCUGAUAUCUAGCGGCGUUUAUGGGUAAGCGCCACUAAAGGCACUAUAGCUCAAGACGAAACGUUGUGUUUCGCUUUCAAACUUUCCGGCGUUUUUCAGUUACACACCGCUAAUAUCAGGCUAUAGCGGCGUUUAUCACAAGCGCCACAAUUGGCUCUAUGCCUCAUUGCCAGACGCUGCGUUUUGGUUCAAAUAUUUUGUGGUGCUUGUUCUAUAGCGCCGCUAAUGAUGUGCUUCAGCGGCGUUUAUACAAAAGCGCCACUAAUUCUACCAUAACUCAAUAUUGUACGUUGCGUUUUGUUUAACAUUUUUUGCGGCACAUACAAAAAAACGCCGCUAAUUGCACUCUAUAAUGGCAUUUUCAUAAUGCGCCGCUACUGCCACUAUUCCUGAAUAUUGAACGAUGCGUUUUGUCAGCUUUCUUACGGCGUUUUUGUUUAAAAACGCCACUGAUGGUGCUCUUUUUGCGGCGUUUUGAUAGAAUCGCCGCUAUUGCUGGAUCUUUACCUGCGUUUUGUGAUUAACGCCGCGAAUGCCUGAUUUUUAGCGGCGUUUAAUCUACAAACGCCACAAAAAGCCGCUAAAUCCCGCUUUUGGUGUAGUGUUCUCAAAUCUCUUCUCCUCUGCUUGAUACUCCAUUUCAUAAGCACGAGCCUUCAUCAACUUAUUCAUGAUGUUUUGCACCAUUGCCUCCAUAGUUGUGAUGACUUUUAGCUCAAGUAUCUCUGGGUUACUUACUAUUUUAUGGUAAACUUCAUCUAGUGAGUUCAUAAUGAUCCUUUGAACAUCUGCAUGACUACAUAAAAAAAAUUGUUAUCAGUAUAAGGGUGCUUUUGAAAUGUCAGUGAGCACUUGAGUUCAUAAAUAUUGUAUACCCCUGGACAGUUGACAGCUUCAUAUCGUCUUGAUUUGCUCUGACAUCACCGCUGCCUUCAGUCAGAUCAUUGUAUAUCUUGUCGUCUAGAAAACAAAGUUAUUAAGUAGGAAACAUAAAGGAUAUUAAUAUUUACAAUUAACAAGUAAAAAGCUGAGGAUUUUAUAAGAUCAUUUAUCAACUUGCAGCAAUUACCUGACAGAAGAAAGUUUUCAAUAUCAAACAACGGCAGUGACAGAAGCUCCUGUAGAGAAAGAGAAUCAGAUCUGAUCCAAAAAUAAGCAAUUUGAAUUUAAAAAAUAUAUACAGGCCAAUACUUACUGGAUCAACAUUAAGCCCCUUUUCUAGUGAGUCUACUUCAUGAUAACCCUGCAAAUAAGGAGAGAAGUACACAACAUUAAGCCCCUUUUCCUACUCAGGACUUUGGUGUGUGUUUGACUAAUAUUUCUAUGAUUGCGUUUAUCUGUAUUUGAUUCCAAUUCAUUGAAAUCAUCCAUGUAUUCCUUGAAUGAACGUACAAUCUAAGACCCAUAAGAAAAAGGACAUAAAAGGAUCAUAAGACAUAAAAAUCCGAAUAUUUAAACUACAAAUAUUUCUGUCUGAUAACUAAUGUUCAGGUAGAAUAAUCUGAGUUCAACAAUUGCUUACAAAGAAAGUAACAAACAUUUCUGGCCAAUAUAUAUAUAUAUAUAUAUGUAACCCAGAGAAUUAAUAAAAAGAAGUGAUAUUUUUGGUUGUGUCACUUUAUAGUUUGCANNNNNNNNNNNNNNNNNNNNNNNNNNNNNNNNNNNNNNNNNNNNNNNNNNNNNNNNNNNNNNNNNNNNNNNNNNNNNNNNNNNNNNNNNNNNNNNNNNNNUGACAAGUUGUACUUAUAUGACAGUAGGAAUAGCUGAGAAGGGUUAAAAUUUUCAUUGGUUAAAAGAGAAUCUAUUAUUACAACAGAGAAUUAAACUUGAUUUUUGCAUCAUUUAUUGAAAGGAUUGAAUAGAAAACUAGUCGACAAUACAUGAUUGCCUAUUCAAGUCAUAAUUUGCUCAACAAAAAUCAAAAUUCGGUUCUAAGUGAAAAAAAAGAACAGAACAGAACAUGAGAGCCAAAAGACAAGUUAUUCUGUGUACACCUCCAGAAGACUGUGAUAUAGACGCUUUUAUUGCAAUAGGAGUUUUAGUUUUAUUUAUUUAUUAUAUCAGGUUUUAUUAAGAGUUUUAAUUUUACUUAUUUUUUCUAUUAUAUUAGGUUUUUAUUUUCAAGUUAAGAAUUCUACUAGGAUUCUUUCCUUCGUUAUUAACAGACUAUAAAAUGCUGCCAAUAUGAAAUAAAGAAAUAAGCAAUUAUUCUAUCAAAAAGAAACGAUAUUAUAAGAGGGGGUUCAGUUAAGGAUGAAUCUGUCUUUUGAGUAAUCAUAGGUCGAUGUAAGAAUUCUUUCUCGUCUAGACCUGUGACUAGAUUGCAAAGGGAGGGGGACAAACAACAAAACCAACGGGGAACAACGGCAAAAUAGGUUCUUCUGCACCAUUUAUUAAGAGACUGACACAGACAGAAAUGGCGGAAAGAAUGGCUAAGGGGUUGUGUUAUAAUUGUGAGGAGUCCUAUUCCAUGGGACACAAAUGUAAAAGGUUAUUUUGGAUAGAAGUACCAAAUGUUGAAGGCAAGCAAGAUGAUGAUGAGGUAGAUGAUUUUGGAUAAGUUCUGAAGUUUAUUCUGAAUUUGAGCUUGAGGACAAGCUCAACUCCAAGGAGGGGAGUAAUGAUAUGGACGCUUUUAUUACAAUAGGAGUUUUAGUUUUAUUUAUUUAUUAUAUCAGGUUUUACUAAGAGUUUUAGUUUUACUUAUUUUUUCUACUAUAUUAGAUUUUUAUUUUCUUCAUACACUCUAAUUUAGGAUUUCUAUUUGGACUCUUUCCUUUGUUAUUAACUGUCAAUAAAAGGUUGCCAAUUGAAAUAAAGAGAUAAGCAGUUAUUCUAUAAAAAAGAAACGUUAUUUUUGAGUAACCAUUGGUCGAGGCAAGAAUUCUUUCUCAACUAGACCUGUGACUAGAUCCUACGCCAAGGCGCAUAAGAGACAUUUUCUAAAUAAACUUACCACAUCAACCCUAAAAAUUUAAUAAUGCAAGAACAAAUUACCAAGAAAGAAAAGUCAUGCCGCUACUACUAAGUUACAGAGUCAUGUUUUCUACAAUAAUUUUCAUGAUAAAAGUAAAAUCUAAAGCUCCAUUGAUUAAAAUACUAAUGACAAAUUGGGUGCUUCUACUCAAAAUGUUUACCUGUAGAUUGAUGUGAAUCUUCGCACCUCUGGUACAAUCAGGGGUUAGAGGAAAAUGGAACAUAAACUGUUCAUCUUCCAUUUGCACAAGAUCUUGAAUACUAACAGGAUUUGUAAGCUUUUGGUUCUUAAUAUCUUGUAGCAUUACUAAAACAGAAGCCAAAACUUUGUUUACUAUUUUUUCCACUAUGCUAAAGAACUUAACCUCUGAGAUUAAUUCCUCUGUUUGGUCCACAAUAGCCUCUCCCUGCAAUGCUUUUACUGAAAUAUAAAGAAAGCAGAUAACAAAUUUUAAUUUAAAUGAUUAAAACAAAUCAAGAUUAAUAUAUUUAUAUAUGUAAAAAAGAGUUAUUAAAACAUGCCUAGGAUGUCUGUCUCUGGUAUUCCUUAAGCAGUCUCCAGAACAUCAACAACAAAUGGCAUUAAUCAACAUAAAAAUCGUACCUAUGAGUGAGAUUACGUGAGGAAGGUCCUUGCAAAUCUCAUCAGCACACUCUAUGUUCCGGACUGGAUUUGUUGACUGGUUCAAAAAUGAAUCAAGCUCUUGAAAUGCAUUUUCGAUGCUAAGACUGGAACUGGCAUUAUCGACAAUCCUGGGCUGCAUCAAAUUUUUCAAUCGUUGCAGUAAGAGUUGAGGGUCACGAAGCCGAUUCAUCCCUUCCACUACUAUCUCUUUCUUUUCUUCCCAUUUCCUCUACAUUCAAAAAAGUUACUAAAAGCAAUUAGAAACAUAAAUGAACUUGCACCCUCAGUUUUUUAGCUCAAUAUUCUUGAGUAAAAACAAAAGCACGAUAAUCUGAUACUUGUAGCAAAAAGUUGAACACACUCCUGGUAUUUGGAAAAAAAGAGUCAGAAAUUGCAGGAUUGACAUGUUACGUUGUAGUGGGAGUCGGAUUGGCAUGGAUUAGUUUGCUCUUUUUUCUUUCUUUUUUUUCAAAAUACAAAUUAUAAAAAGAGAGGAAAAGUCUCACAGCAGCUUGAUAUCUGUCAUCACCAUCCAAUAGCAUACGCAUCAAUUCUCCCACCAGCUCGUUACAGUCCUGCAUAUAUAUGGAGAGUAACUAUUAUUAAACAAACCCUAAACGAUAAAGAAAAUAGCUUAAUUGCAAGAAAGGAAAGAAAAUGAAUAGGUACCUUGAUUCUUUUACGACUGCGCUUAUCUUUAUCUGAUUCCAAUUCUAUGAAAUUCCCCAUAUAUUCCUUGAACGACGUACAAUCUGAGAAUCAAGCAAAAUGAUAUAAAAAUAUCUUACAAUAUUCUGUAAGUUCAAAUUUUCCUUUAAAAGCAAAAUAUAUUUCUAAAAAAAGCAAAGUCAAACUCGAUUCUAUCCAGUAGACCAGAGAAAAAUAUAAACCAAACCAGCAAAGAGCGAAGAGAAAUGGAGCUUAACAUUGCUUACGAUUGCAGAGUAGAGACUUCUUAUGCCGUCGCAGAAAUCUUUUAUCAUUUUUUCCUCAAGACUUUUAUUUCUGAUGCAUUCGCACGAUCGUGCGAAUUUCGCUUUUCUGAAUUAUUCGAAAAAAUAUUAAAAAGAAAUUGAUUAAAUCCCAAAUUUUGAAAAAGUAGUCUAUUUUCCAUUUGUGUGUUCACAAUAAUCUACAUUUACUGUUGAAGUUAUCAAUAAUUCUCGUUUCUCCCGUUUGAGAAAAAUUAAGUUGAUACGUUUGCAGGGGUAUUGCCAAGGGUGUGUUAGCAAAUGUCUGUUCCUUUAAAGAAAAAAAAUUAAAUUACUCAACUCUCGAUAAUAAUAAAAAAUUCACUAAACUAUAAAAAGUUACAUUUUAAUCACUAAUGUUUUUUUAAUGAAAAAAUAAUAAAUAGAAAUUCAAGUAUCAACUAUUGAAAGACUCUAAAGGUUUUUGUCUCGUUAGAUAGCCGUAACCACCGAAUUAAGAGGUGCUUCAAAUAUCUGAAGGGAGGUCUGCCAAGAGAGACUAAUCUUUGCCAAUUGAUUUGCAAUUAAAUUACACUCCCUAGGAACAUACUUAAUUUUCCAUUGAUCUUCAAAACGUAAAAUACAUUUAACUCUUCUAAGCAAGGUAAUACCGGAGUCCACCGACUCCUCCAUAGACAAGGCACUAACCACCUCAAGGUUAUCUGUCUAAAUCUUGACUUUCUUGUAGCCCUUAUUUAAUAAAAUGAGAAUUCUGUCAAGAAUACCCCAAAGUUCUACCUCCAAAGGUGAACAUCUACCCAAAUAAUGAUUAAAGCCCAAAAUCCAAUUGUCAACCUAAUCACGAACCACCCACCCACGGAUGCAUUUUCGAAAGCUCUAGCCACUCCUCCAUCAAAAAAUAAAUAAACCCAAUUGCCUUUAUAAUGGGAAUGAAUUUCCGAAUUUGGUGAAUUAGGCUUGGCCUCAUUUAGAAAAGGUUCAAAUUGUUUGGCCCAAUUGAGAGAGACUUUUACAAUUUCAUAAGUCGUCCAGUUAAUGUUUUGGAAGAUGAAAAGAUUCAUGUUCUUCCAAAUUCUCCAAGCAAUUAAUCCAAAUAAGCUUGACCAAGUAAUUUCCUUAUCCUGCAUCUUAAAAUGGCAACAAAGGUUAGUGGAAAACCAACUUUGAAGGGAAUCAAAAAAAAAAAACCUGGAUUGCAUCUUAGGAAGGACUACAAGCUUCCAUGCUUCCUUAGCCGUCAAACAGUCUUGGAGUACAUGCAUAAUGUCCUUAGUAUUAUGACCACAUAAAGAGCACGCAGUGUUUUGCUCAAUUCCUCUCUUAACGCUCUCUAAAUUAGUAAGAAGUCUAUGUUUGAACACAAACCAAAGAAAAAGAUGAACUCUCUGUGGGCUUUGAUAUUUCCAAAUAGACUUUCAACUAUCAUCUUUAGGACUCCAAGAAUCUUCUUUUAAAGCCCAGUAAGCAUUACGAACAGAAAAAGACUCUCAAUCAGAUCGAGCCAAAUGAUCCCAUCCUCUCCACCAAUACAGUGAGAAGGGGGGAUACUUACUAUACACUUUAUCACGUCAUUAGGUAGCCAAAUACGAAGCAAAUUAACUUUCCAAGAACCAUCAAGAAGAACCCAAUCCCUCAAAGUGCUCUCCAAACCUAUGCUUGCAUGAGCUAGAACAUAAGAAAAAAAGAGGACCAACUUCUAGGAUCCAAGAAUCUUUCCAACAACGAAUUAGAGCCAUCACCUACAGACCACAUAAGAUUCUCACAAAAAAAUGGGUCACACCUUAGAAAGGGAACUCCAAAGAUGAGAGCAUUGAUUUUUGUGGAUAGAAUUUGGAAGCUGAUUCUUCCACCCAUAUUUCGAACAAAGGACACGAACUCAUAAAGCACCCUUUAUAAAGACUAGAUUGAACCCAAUCUUCAUAAGUAAGGAAUUAUUUUGGUCUUGGAGGUGCCGAAACCCGAGGCCCCCUCAAGACUUAGGUUGACAAAUGGACUCCCAACCUUCUAAAGUUGUUUUUGGAUGCCCAGCAGAACCACCCUAAAUGAACUAUCUUGCUAUCCUCUCUAUCUCAUCACACACCUUUCGAGAUUAACAAGGACUGCAUAAAGUAGUUUGAAAUAGCUAAGAGAACUGACUGGGCAAGAAUGAUAACUGAUUGGGCAAGAGUGACAUGUCCCGCAAAGGAGAGUUUCCUAACAUCCCAAUUUUGAGUUAUAGUGACUUGGUACAUUAACCCAAAAGAUAUUAUCUAAUUUGACCUUGACCUCUAGUUAAAAUAUUCAAUUUCAUCCUUUCGCAACCUUUUUUAACGAUAAUUCUAAAAAAAUUAUUUAAAUUUUCAAAAAAUUAUUUAUUUUCUAAAUAUAAAUAUUCACUAAAUUAUAUUUAUCUUUUACGGGUUUUUUAUGCAAAGGUUAAUGUUGUAGUAGCUAGGGAUGUUCAUAGUUCAGUUAAAACCGAAUCAAUCGUUUUAACCAGUCUAAUUCGAUUAAUCAACCAAUGGUCGAAUUUAGUUCAAUCGAAAGUCAGUUAAUGAUUUUUUAAAAUUUCAGUUAUCAGUUAAUUCAAUUCAAAAUCAAAUAAUUAAUCGAAAUAAAUAAUAUAUAUUAUAUAUAAUUAUUAACUUUAAAGAUUUAUGUAAUGUUUUUACAGUUUUAUUUAUUACUUUCAACCCCAUUUAAAAGCUUUUGAACUAUUAAAAGAAAUGACCAUUAGCACUAUAUUCUUAUUAUUUUUUAUACUUAUUUUAAUCAAAAGAUAAAAAAUAUAUAUUUCAAUUAACCGACCAAAUUAACCAAAAUUUUUCAAUUCGAUUAAUGUACUUGAAAAAACUUAAAUUCAGUUCAUGGUUAAAACUUUUUACAUUUCAAGUAAUUCGGUUCAAAUAUUAAUCGAACCAACCGUUUGAACAAUGCAAUCGAUACACUUAUUGAAUGCUUUUAACGGCACCGAUUAAAUUAUCCAACGAAUUCUACAAGAAUAAAUUUAGAAUUGAAUUGGAGUUUGUUCGUAUAUGAAAUACGCACAAAGUCCAUGUAAACCAUUCUUGGCAAAGCCAAUCCUUGAAUAUCCUCUUGUAGCACUUGAGCAGGUCCUGCUGGCGGCACACUAAAAAUUUGCAUGCCAACAUUCUGGUUUGAAGAAAGACAGAGCAUCAGCUAGCCGAUUCGCUUCCCUAUGCACAUUCUGAAUUGAAGUCAGCAAAGCCAAACCAUUCUUCCAAGUUGUAAAAACUCCUGAUUCAAACACAAAAGCAUCCCACUAAACCAUUAAAAGAUUCUAUUCCAACGUCAAAUAGAUUUCGACUUACUUGACCGCAAUAACAAGUAGCAAUUAGUCAACCCGUGGUUUCUUGGACAGCUUCAGUCUGCCUUCUCUUUUUCUUAGAGAAGCAAAAGCAAUUACUGAGAUUUAUAAAUAUAGACACGAACCAUAAAUGAAAAUUUGGGGUUGGAGUAUUAACAGUUCAUCCACUAUUUGCACAAUGUCCUUGAAAAGGAUUUGCCAAGUUCAAAAUGUCGUAGAUCUUAACAUAAGUCGUUGCUUGUUUCUUCUUGCCUUCUUGUGGUCACAAAAGACAUGUUCCUGGAUAUGCAAAGUAGACAAUUAAUAAUCAUUUAUCCGAAGAAAAGAAAUGAGAGAAAGGAGACCCAAAGACGAGAUGAUUGGUACCUGUCUGCAUAAAUUACGGCUAAUACACUGAUGUAAAUCAUAAAUGAAGCACUUUACCGUCCAUCAGUCCGGCUUCUAAGUUAAUAAUUUUGAUCUAAAUCCAACAUCUACUAUUGCCAUAGAUAUCGCACUUAAUACUAUCGGUAUAGUCUUCAGAACUGGAUUCUUCGAGGGAAAAAGAAAACUUGAUUCGCUUUGCUAAGAAAGCUUAUUUGGUCCCUAUCUGUUGAAAUCAGCCAAGAAAUUUGGGCAUGCACUUUGCAGCUUAAAAGACCAUACACUCUGAGCAUCAAUUAGGAAAAACAUUACGGUAUGUUUAUUGAUGAUAAAAAAAUGUCGAAGAGAGGGAAGAAACGACUGCAAACUAAACAUUACCUAGUAAAAUUUAAAGGUAAAUUUCAAAAGAAAAGAACUUUCCCUGAAUCAGACUGUUGAAUUGAGUGAGGAAGGGAUUUGUGAAUCUCAGCCCAAUCUCAGCUCAAACUGGUAUUUGUUGACUGGAAAAGCAUUUUUAGAUUUGUUAUCUGCUUCAAAAAUGCAUUUGUCAACAAAUCCAGUCCGAUCCAAGACACCGGAAUACUGAACUGCAUCUUGAAUUAAGGGUCUUGGGGGUGACUCAUCGCUUCAAGCACUAUCCACUAUCAACAUCCUUCCCCUAUAUAAUAUAAACUUCGCAAAAUAAAAUACUGAAACAAAUUAAAACAGAUUAUAAAAGAGAUUGUGGAUCUUGGUUCAUCGCUCCUUAUACUAUCUACUAUCUACAUCUCUGCAAAAAUAUAUUAAAACAAAAUAUAAAAGACAGUGGUUGGUUCAUUGCUUCUUUUACCAUCUACUAUCUAUUUCCUAAAAGUUACUAAAAAGAAUUAGUAACAGAAACAUCAGCAGAUAAGGAAAAACAACUACAAAAUUUGCAUCUGUAAAAGGAAACACCAAAAUGGUGAGAAUGAGACUCAAGACUAGAGUGAUUUUGCUUACGGACGGGCAAAAACGGAAAAGAACAAAAAUGACCUAAAGUGAAAAGAACUCCUCCACACAACUGAAUAGCAUUUAUGUUCUCCAAUAACAAAAUUUACACUUAUAUAAGGCAAAUGGCCGAAUGGCCUCAGGGUUUCAAAUAGGGUAGGCAUAGUGGUUUCACAGCCGCUAAUUCAAAAUAGCAGCAGCAUCCGCUACCACUAAAGAUCUCAAUAGCUGCGUCAACAUAUUUUCAGAUGUUCUUCGAACUAAGUAAAUAGAGAAAGAGUACAAGAUAAGGCGGAAUCCAAAGUAGAAAAUAAAAUGUAGAGGAGUAACGUAGAGGCUGAGAUAAGGUAAUUGAUACUGUAAGUAGAUAUAUUUUAGGGUUUCGAAAUUUACCUUGCAAAAGAGGAUUUGGAUCUGAGUAAUGGUGAGAUCCCUGCUUGGCGGCCAACGCUGAGAGAUGAGGGUAGGAAGGAGUUUCUUUUUAAAGAAAAUUUUACUAUUUUAGCCCCACAAAAAAAUUAUUGGGCUGUACUUGGGUUUUAGUUUUUGUUCCCUCUACUUUUGUUUUGUUGUCAUUCUUUUUUCCUUUUUUUUUUAUGAUAAUUUUUAUAUAAACUCGGUAGGAUAGUGUUAAGGUGUUCAUCACCCCAAAUAUGAUAUAGGUUUAAGUUGCAUUAGUCGCAUUACUGUUAAGAUUUGAUUUCAGUUUUAUUAACACAAUUAUAUUUUAAUUUAAUAUUCAAGUUUCAUUUAAUUCUUUCUCCUAAUCUUACAUCUUGAUUCUUACAUUUUUUUUAUUAACACGAUUCAAGCAAUUAUAAUUCAAAUGAAUCCAAUUUAAAAUACAAUUGAAUUUAAAAUCAAAAUAUAUUCAAACUUAGACUAAAUAAAUCUAAAAAGAACCUAAACUAAAAUUAAUGGACAUGAACCUAAACAGCAUUUUGCAAUAUGGUCCUUAUAUUCCAUUAAAAUGUAAUAAUGAGACAUGACAAUAUUGUAUCACAUCACCACUUGAGCUUAUUUAAUUUUUAAAAUUUUCAAAUGAAGAAUUGAUAUAAUCUCUUAUUGUCACAUCAUCACACAUUAACAGUAUUUAAGUUCAUGGACCAAAUUAGAAAGAAUUCAAUGACCAAGAUGAGACAUGAGUGCUUGAUAUAAUUUUUCUUUCAUAGGGCUCAAGCUUGAAGAAAAUAUGGGUACUUAACAUUAUCAAUUCGUAACAUUUUAAUCAUUGUGUCCAACCCAACUAAGUCUAGCAUGGCAGAAGUUAUAUUUUAAUUAUUUACACAUAAUCGUUUAUUAUUAUAUUGUGAAAUAUUAUAUUAAUGAUCAUAAAGUACCAAAGUAAUGGUUCUUUGUAAGUUAACUAAAGUUAACUUUAUUGACAUGACAUGUGAUUAUCUAGGUAUAUACUUCAUUAGUAAUUAUUUAACUUUAUAAAGUAAAAAGGAAAUUAUUAAAAAUAUAAAAAAUUAUAAAAAUGAUUUAAGCCCAAUAAACCAUUAAACUUACCACCAAACCAUUAAACUUACCACUAAAGAUAAGUUAAUUUACACUUUACCACCAAACCAUUAAACUUACUUUAAUAUAAAUUGAACAAAAAUAAUAUUUAAGCCCAAUGAACAAAGAUAGGCCUAGGAACAAAAAUAAAUGAUUUUCCCAAUAGAAGGAUUUGAACCUAAAACUUCCAACAAACAACUAAAAUACUUAACCACUAAAACAUAUAUUACUUUAUAAUAAAUUUUAACAAAUCAAAAUUUUAAAACUUAGAGCAUUAUAUGGGAAAUUCACCGCUAUGUAUGUACUAUAUUGUGAUAAUUCUUUAAUACCUUAAGGGUCAAGAUCGUAUCACCAGCUCAAAUACCCUAGGGUACAAGCAUAUUCUGGUGUGGUUGGUGAGGUCGAUGCAUUUAUGCUUGAUUAGUACUUCAGUACAUCUACUUCUUUUUCCUCCUCUUCUCCAUCAUGAAAUCAAUUUAAUUUCUUAGAAAAGUUUUGGAUCAAUUUUCGGAUUCCAAUCGAUAUCAUCAAUAUACAUAUCAGUUGCAUAACUUGACAACUUAUCCUUGUAAGGAAAAUCAUAAUAAUUUUCCCAGAACCUCUGUUUAGCUUCCUGAAAAGCUUUUAAAUUAGUCGAAUCAUCUCAUUCGAAUACUUUAUAAGCUUUAUACAAAGUAUUCUUCGCAUCAAUAAAUAUUUUCCAUGACAUUGCACCCACUUUCAUGCAAAAUUUUUAAAACGAAUAAAUCGAUUAAGAUUUUAAUUAUUAAACCCAUAAGACCAUAACCUAUUUACAAACCCAAACCCAAACCCAAAGUAAACAUUAAAUCCAAAUUCCCAUUAAAACUCGUUAUUCUUACAAAAUUAUAGCCUAUUAAAACUUUAAAAUCCAAUACCUUUUCUGAGUCAUGCUAUUCCAUAAGUGCAGAGGUAACCCAUGAACUUCAAGCCAAGUUGCCCUCCGCUCAGGAAGGAAAUCAACUAACCUACAUCAUCUGAUUGACAGCACAAGUUAAUUGAAUUACCAAGAAUCAAUAUCAAUAACUUACAUAAAAGAAUAGAGAUUAAAUAUAAGAUGAAAUCAACCAAGCCAAGCUGGCAAUGUCUAUUCAUUUACCCCAUUUCAAUCCUACAAUAGUCAAGAUUUGACUAAACUUUGCAACCUAUACAAGUCUUUUUGGGAUUUUGACAAAAUAUAAAUAAAAGCCCCGAGAAGAUACUUAAAACAUUCACUCAUCCAUGGCAACUGCUUGAAAGAAUUGGGGUUGUCAUCUAGCUCAUAAUCAAAUACAAGAUCAAUACCGAAUUCUAGCACAGAUAAAUCUGAAAGAACCCGAAGAGUAAUAUGAUCACCGGCUUCUAGUUCACCACCCCUAAAGUCCCAACAAGUAAACCAGUAUAAGGUAUUCUUGGUUCCAAGAAUUCCUGUGAAAUGUUUGGAGUAGGUCCACUUUGUACCUUUAGUCUCGUUCACAAUUUCAAGGAAUGGUAAAAAUUCAUUUGUAUUAUCAUUCUUGGCAGAAAAAAUGAUAAUCGAAUUUAAGAAGCAACUAAUCUUUCGACUAGAGUUUGGGGGCACUGAUAAUGAAACCUCAGUCUUGCCAGCUUGAUUGCCAAAGUAGUGGCCAUAGUAAUCAAAUGGCAUUGGAUCAAAUGUUGUAAUUAUGCCAUAAUCGUAGAGUACCUGUAGCAUUGGGUUAAGGAAUUAGUUAUUAAAAAUAUAUAGUAUAUAAAGAAAUUUUGAAACUUGGAACUCGUAAGGAACCUGUGGGGAAGAAACCACUUUUGAUUCUUCUAUAUAACUACAAAGUUGCACUUUAACAUUUCCAUAAGAUUCCAAAUUGAGUAAGUUUUUAGUUAGGUCCAUCUUGAUAUUUCUUGGGGAAACUUCAUCUCCUAAAAUGUGUACAAUAAUGUGUUAUUUAUCAAUUUUAAUGAUCAUCAACAUAAUAUGCCUAUUAUAAUACCAAAGUAUUAAUUUUGACAUGAAAAAAAACGUUGAGUAAAGUUUUUAUCAGACACCCAUAUAAUAUGGGUUUAAACUGUGUAUGAAAAAAAAUAUCAAACAACUAAUUUUAUGUAUUAUGACUAAAAUAUGUUAUAAGACUUGUUAGAAAUAACCAAUUAUACACUUUUUUGAAAAAAAAAAUCAAUUAUAUCUGUAUCUUUUAUUUUUAUAUAAAAUAUCAACUUUAAAAAUACCACUUUUAACUUCAUCCAUUAUUUUAGUUUCCACUUAGGUGAUAGAUUAAUCAUCUAUCAAACAAUUAACUUAUUUUGAUUAGACCUCAAUUGCAACAUAAUUUUAUAAUUAUUAUUUUAUUAUUAAGCUAAAUUUCUCUCAGAAUCUAUUAAACUUAAGUUAUAUUUUUAUUGUAUUGGAAAGCCUUUUAGAGAAACAUAUAUCAAUUUUUGAAUUUUUUUUAUUGACAUCUAAAAGGAAACAUAUGUUCAAACAAUCUAAAGGGGGCAUUAAAAUAAAUAUAAUAGGAUGUAUUAACUAAAAUACAAUCUUACCGUCGAAAACACAAUUAGAUAUUCAUAUAAUUCAUUAUUUCAAUAAGGAUAUAUCUUUUUAGCCAUGUGUUUUACUCAUUAAUGUUAAUAGUGCAUUGGGUAAUAUGCCAUAAACAUAAUUAUUUGAAAUCUACUCAUACCUGUAGAUAAAUAUGAAAAACCAUAUUCAUAUCUAAUGUUGUGUUCGGAUUCAUAGGUAACGCCAAAUUUUUUUAUGCGGAGAUGAAUAGGCACUAUCAUGCAACUCACAAGGUCACCACCUUCAAACUGACAAUCCGUUACUGGCCAAUGGAUCAACCACAACAUUGUGUUAUCGUUAGUCUUAGGAAUUCCAAAAAAAUAUAUAUGUAUUUAGCAUAAAAAAUAAAAGGAUCAUACAUUACCCAAAUAGUGAAAAUGGAUCCAAAUUCAAUCAAAGUCCUCUAAUUAAUUUGUCCAAAUCAACAUUGAUUCAGAAUUUAGAAUUUUCUUUUCAUUUGAAAAAUUAAACUCAAUAAUUGGUAGACUUAAAUAAAAUUCGGUGUCUACACUACUCAAUAAUUAUCAGCUAACAAAGUGAUGAAUUCAACUACAGUAAAUUUGGUUAACAUCAGUUUUGGAUUUCAUUCAUGGACUCAUUAAGUUAAUAAUAAUCAUAAUAAUUAAAGUAAGAAAGUGAUGAACAUUUGCUUUAACUAAUAAAUUUAGCAAAUUAAAUAUACAUACCUCUUAAAGUUCACAAGGAAGUAAAGGCUGCAAGGAAGUAGAGGCUGCAAGUUCCUGGGAUUGCUUCACGAUUGAAUUUCCAGCAGUUUAUCAAUUGAUCAAAAAGUCUACUUUCUGCUGCAGUUGACUAAGAAAACAUUAUACAGGGUCAUCUAUACAGAGAUGAGCCAAGCAACAAUAAGGUAAAUAACAUAUAUAAAGAGAAAGCAGCAGUUUAAAAUAUACAAUAUGCAUAUAAUUUUUUAUGACAAAACAUGCAGACAUAAAUUUUAAAUUUCAAAAUAUACAUAUAUUCAUACCUAACACUAAUCUCAUUUAACUCGAAUUCAUACCCAACACUCAUCUCAUUUAACUCGAAUAACAUAGAUGGCAAAUACGUCAGUAAGACUAACCAAAACCAAAACAUGUAAAGGGAUAGUGAAAGUGAAUCUAUUGAGCUCUCCCCUAAGCCAAUGUUACAAAAAUGAAUUGCCAUUGAUCCAAACCCAAAAUGCACAAAAAAAAAUGGGAAAGGGGAAGUCCAUCCAUACCAGAUUUAUGAGUUCUCCUCUCCCUUUUUUCCUUUGUAUUUUCUCUUUCGAUAUUAUAGCUUUCGUUUUCUCCUCUCUGAUUCUGUUUCUGUUUGUGUUCUGCCUUACAGAAAAUGAUAAGUAAAAACACGCGGAACAGAAAUGGCGUCGUUUUGCCAAAAUUUUAAGACACCAUUCCGGCGUUUGUUAGGAAAACGCCACUAUUUCUUGUAUAUUUCCGACGUUUCCAAAAAACGCCACUACAAAUUGAAGUUAUAAUCUGAAACGACGCCGUUUAAUAAAGCUUUAAUGCAUAUUUCAAACUAUUUUUUAACUUAUUAAACUUAAUUCUAUUUAAAAUAAUAUUUAAAUGACAAAAACAUUAAUAUAAUUGAUAUCAAUUGGUACUUUAAUUUGAUUUUUUAAAACAUUAUUUAAAGAAAUUAAUCUAAACUAACCUAAUUAAAAUCCUUAUCCGACGGCGUGAAACCCUAAACCAUAAAUUCUAAACCACUAACCCUUAGCCCGUAACUCGUAAAACUUAAACCCCUAACCCUAUAUCCCAAACCUUAAAUCCAUAUAUACCCCCUAAUCCUUAAAAUAGCACGGCCAUCAGAAAUAAUCCCUAAAUCUUUAAUAAUCAUAUAUAAAAUAGUUAUAAUUGAUAAAACAAUAAUUAAUAGUAAUAAAAACUUUUAAUAAUUUGUAAUAUUACCUUUAUAAUAUUUAUUUUUUUGUAUAAAGUUUGAAAUUUAUAAUAUUUAAUUUUAUUGAUAAAUAAAUAAAUUUAAACUAUAUACUCAUAAUUUCAAUAUAUUAAAUUUAUUAUAUAUUAUAUAUUUUAGAAAUAUAUAUAUAAGAACAUAUUUGAUAAAACUAAAUUAAUCUAAUAACUUAAAACUCUAACAUAACCGUUGAAACCCCUAAAACCCGGGCCCAAAUCCAUAANNNNNNNNNNNNNNNNNNNNNNNNNNNNNNNNNNNNNNNNNNNNNNNNNNNNNNNNNNNNNNNNNNNNNNNNNNNNNNNNNNNNNNNNNNNNNNNNNNNNNNNNNNNNNNNNNNNNNNNNNNNNNNNNNNNNNNNNNNNNNNNNNNNNNNNNNNNNNNNNNNNNNNNNNNNNNNNNNNNNNNNNNNNNNNNNNNNNNNNNNNNNNNNNNNNNNNNNNNNNNNNNNNNNNNNNNNNNNNNNNNNNNNNNNNNNNNNNNNNNNNNNNNNNNNNNNNNNNNNNNNNNNNNNNNNNNNNNNNNNNNNNNNNNNACCGUUGAAAUGCGCACAAAAUCUCAAAUCCCAAAACCUCUAACCCCUAAAUUAACCUUAAAUCCCCAAUUACCUUAAAUCUAUACCCCGUACUCAUUAAAAUACCGUCCAUAAAAAAAAUUCCCUAAAUCUUUAAUAUAUAUAUAUAAUCAUAAUUAAAUUAAAUAUAGUCAGUAAUUAUUGUUAAAAUAUAUAUAAAUUAGUCGAACAAUAUAUACGUACUACCAAAAUUAAUUUAUUACUCUUAUAAAAAGUUAAUUCUAUUUUUAAUUUACUCUUUACAUUAAUACAACAAUUUAAGUUUUACUAUAUUUUAUUUUAUUCAUAAUUUAAUAUAUUUUCUCUCGUAAAGUAGUUUAAAUCAACUGUUAUAAAUAGUUAGCUGUUACAUAUAUACGACUUCUCUUUAAUAAAAACUUUUUUUAUUAAUCAAUAUUAUUUGUUAAUUAUAAUUUAAAUGUAAAUUGUCCCACUAUAUAUAUAUAUAAUAAAUAGAACAAAAUAUUAAUUAUUUCAACUUAUAAGAUUUUUGUUACUAUUAGCGGCGCUUCGGCAAAAACGCCGCUAAAGGUUAAUACAUUCGCGGCGCUUAGAUACAAACGCCGCUGAAUACAGGAGAAUUAGCGGCGCAUAUAUAAAAACGCCGCUAAAAACCUGAGCAUUAGCGGCGCAUAGGCGAAAACGCCGCUAUAGACCCAGAGCAUUAGCGGCGCUUAGACGAAAACGCCGCUAAAGACUCGGAGCAUUAGCGGCACUUAGACGAAAGCGCCGCUAAAGACUCGGAGCAUUAGCGGCGCUUAGACAAAAACGCCGCUAUAGACCCGAGCAUUAGCGGCGCUUAGACAAAGACGCUGCUAUAGACCCGAGCAUUAGCGGCGCUUAGAUAAAAACGCCGCUAAAUGUUUAAAAAAUCGCAAAAAACGACGCCGUUCGUCUUAGGUUUUUUGUGGCGCUUUAUAUAAAACGCUGUUAAUUCCUAUUUUUAGCGGCGCUUCCGUAUAAACGCCGCUGAUGCUCUACCUUUAGCGGCGCUUUGGCUAAAUCGCCGCUAAUGCUCUAUUUUUUGUGGCGCUUUUGUUCCAAACGCCGCAAAAAGUACCGCUAAAAGCCUAUUCUGGUGUAGUGGUUUAUUUAUAAGAGUUCUCUUAAAUAUUUAUGUCAAAUCCAAAUUGUUGUGAAUUGGUAGCCAGGAUGGAAAUCAAUUCUUUUAACAUUUCAAGGAGUUUUGUCCAUAAGUGAAAGUCUUUGGUAAAAGUAUUAGAUAAUAAGUAAUUGAUAAAAAUUUUCAUUCUAAAGGCAACUAGCAAAGAGCUGUUUAAUAUUUUUCAACAUUCAUGAAGGGUUUUUAUUUACUUUUAUUGAACGGAAUAGAUUUUUUUUUCCUAAUAAAUGAACCACGAGAAGAAAAAUGUUUUCCAAGGAAUAUUCUUACCAUAUCUAUUUAAUAUGUAAUUCGCAACUUGUUCUUGAAAGGAAAACCAUAAUAAUUUCCCCAGAAUUUCUAUUUGAAAAUUUGGAAAUCUUUUAAAUCAACCGAAUCAUCUCACUCGAAUACUUUAUCAGCUUUAUACAAAUUAUUCUUUGCAUCAAUAAAUAUUGUUCAUGACCUUGCACCCACUUUCAUGCAGAAUUAUUUCUCCCAUGCAGGAAAUGGUCUCCAUGAAUUUUUGACGUGAUAUCUAUUUUGAUGAUAUGACAUGGUUUCUUUUGAUCCAAAAAAGAUGAUGAAUGACAUGAAAUUGAACUAUGAUUUUAAAGAAGGGUCUUGAGUUUAUAUAAGAUUAUAUAGGCGGUAAUUCAAUUUCCCUUUCCUUGUUGGAAAAGGAAUUCCAUUUUGACUUUAAUUGUAAUUUUUAAGUUGUUGUUUUUUUAUUGUUAAUUAUUUAAAAAAUAAUCGCAUUUUAACUUGCAAACUUAAAUCUUAAACUAUUAUCUUUAUGUUUACUUUUUAAUGAUAAUUAACAAAAAUAUUUGGUUUUAAAAUUUUAAUACAAUCAAUGAAACACAAUUCACACACAUGAAUGAUAAAAUUUGACGUGAUUAAAUAAAUAUUGAAUUUUGUUAUAUUUUUAAUAAUAAAUAUAGGUAAAAUGGUAAUAAAUUGGGAUUUUAAUGUCAUUUAAAACGGGUCAACUAAAUUUUAGAUUAGAUAUUCAAUAUUAAUAAUUAAUAUAUAUUAAUUGAAUUAUAAAUGAGUUUAGAAAUUCAAAAUUGUAAAAAUUAAUAUAUAUAUAUAUAUAUAUAUAUAUAUUGAAUUAAAUGACUACCAUACAUAAUCUUAUUCAAAUAAUAAUAAUGAAAAAUAAAACUGAGUGUUUAAGACAAUUUCGUUGUAUUUGUUUGUUCUAUGAUCCAACUAUGGUAGGAAAGCGUGAUGUAGGUUCAUCGUACUCCCAUCCAGUGGCUUUAAUUUGCUCUAAUGGAAUCGAAAACGAAUCAAUCCUUUUAACUUCUUCUUUUUCUUCUUCUUCAUCAUCGGAAAUCGACUUUAUUUCCAAAAAAAGUUUUGGGUCGAUUUUGGAGUUCCAAUCAAUAUCAUCGAUAUACAUAUCUGCUGCAUUACUUGGUAACUUAUUUGUGCAAGGAAAACGAUGAUAAUAUUCCCAGAAUCUCUGUUUGGCUUCCUGGAAAGCUUUUAAACCAGCUGAAUCAUCCCAUUCGAAUACUUUAUCGGUUUUGAACAAAUUAUUCUUUGAUUCAACAAAUCUUUUCCAUGGCAUUGCACCCACUUUUAUGCAGAAUUUUUUCUCCCAUGCAGGUAAUGGUUCCCAUGAAUUACCGUUAUCAUUUUGUUUGGGACGAGUAAAUUUCGAACUGUAGUACCUUUCUCGGCAAUUAUGAUAUCUUCUUUGAUAGUAUGACAUGAUUUCUUGUAAUCCAAACAAAUAAAUGAAUUGAAAUUGCUAAUGACAUGAAUUUACAGUGAGGAGACUUGUUGGGUUUAUAUAAUAUUAUUAGAGUCGCUGGUGACUCAAUCCUUUUCCUUGUUAGAAAAGGAAUUCCAAUUUCAGUUUAAUUAUGAUUUCUAUUUUUUAAAUAUUUGUAUAAUAAAAUUAUUAAAAAAUAACUAUAUCUGUAUUGAUAAUAUUUUCUUAUUAAAUGGGUUUUAUGAGUUAAAUAACAAUCAAACCAAGAUUGGGAGAUUGAACUGCAUCAGGUCUUGGGGGUGAUCCAUCUCUUCAACCACUAUCCACCAUCUACAUCCUUCCCCUAUAUAAACUCUGCAAAAUAUAUACAUAUAUAGAGAGAGAGAGGAACAAACAAAUUAUAACCAUAGCAAAAAAAUCAAAACUAAAAUAUAACCAUUUUUCUUAUAAGGUGAAAAGAAAUAAUGGGCUGAGUACUUGAAAGAACUAACGACCUAAGUUUAUAAAUUAUUAUUUAGUACAAUGAUUCGAAUCCAAUUGCUUUUAAGAAAAAUGAAUACUCGACCAAUAUAUUACAAUAUGAGUUGUUAUUAUGAUUUAAUGUAACAUUCAAUCAAUAAAAUAUAACCAAUUUCUGAACGCUACCUAACAAUAUUUUUUUUGCCAAAGGGAAAGCAGAAAAAUUAUAUAUUUUUUAUAUUUUUAUUUUUUCACCCUUUUAAUUUUCUUUUCAUUCUACCAACUAAAGUUUUAAUGAAAAACAUGGAACUUGACUAUGCAUAUAACGUACCUAUCUUGUAGAACCAUACCUCCUAUAUCCGCAAUUUCUUUUAAAGCAUUAAUUCCUCCAUCUUUGUACCAUGUUGGUUUCGGACUAGAUGUUUUGUUCAUGUUGAGUAAAUGCAUCUGCAUAACUCCCCGUCUGGUUCUUGACUUGGCUCGACUCGGAUCCACAUCAUAGAAAAUUGGUAAAACAAUGUGUUUAGAAGAUUUCUUCUGCUCCAAUAUCAUUACAAGUUCGUUAAGACACCAUGUGGAUGCAGCAUAAUUCUUCGAGAAAAAACGAUAGAAAUUUUGGAGUGGUGUAGUAUUGCUUUUUCAAUUUCAUCUUUUAUGUUAUUCCCUCUCUCGAUUUCCUCAUCAUCUCUAAAUGUUUGAAUUCCUAAGUGCACCAAAGCUGUGUAAAGAUGAUCCGUGAAACUUUUGCGCGUAUCUUCACCUCUAAAACUCAAGAAUACAUGAUAAGUACCUCGCGAGAUAUCUGAUACCGCCAUUGAAGAAGAAAAUGAAGUCGUCCUGUAUUGUUAUGUGAAGAAAUCUAGGUAAACUAGAGAAAAUCAAUGAAGAAAUAUGUUUUCAAUCUGAAUUUAGUCUAUUACUUAGUCCAAUACAAAGCUAGACGUGUAUAUUUAUAGGUACAAUUAACUGCCUUCCUUAACAAAUUAGCUAACAACUCAGCUAACUCUAACUGCCUCUCUAACAGUCUUAUUAUCUUUAACACCUAUGUAGGAAUGAAGCAUUAAUAACCGGUUGAUUUCAGAAACAGAAUUGGUGGUUAAAUGGACUAAAUCACCAGUUUUUAUUUGACUUCUUGUUAUUAUUUAAAGAAAAUAAAUCUAAAAAAAUUAAAAUUAAAUAAAAUAAUAAAUAUUGACGUAUAUUGCACAUUAAAGUAAAUUUGAAAAAGAGAAAUGAGAGGGACAUAAGAGGGGGAGAAUAAUUCCCAAGUACUUGGUGUGGAAAAUAGAGGUACUAUAGAAAACGUUUCGAUAACUUUCCAUUUGGAGUCAUGCUUACGGUCUUAGUCUUUAGACCAUUGAGCUUGUUAAUAUUAUCUGAAUAGAGUUUAUUUGAAUAAAUUAUCAAAUUCAGACUUUAAAUAAUGAUUUAUAUCAAAUCAAAGCUGGCCCUAAAUUAGCAAAUUACGAGGGGCUUCAACAUAAUAAAUUCAUGGGCUAACCAAUUUCAGUGCAAUAGAAGUAGUGAAGACGAUGGGAUAAGGCUAAGAUUGACAUGCGAUGUGAAAAAGCAGGUAAGAGCAGUAGACUAUGAAAAGUCAUUAUAUAUUAUAAACAUUUCUUACGUUACAUUUCAACCACCUCUAUAAUUCCACCAGUGUCUGGUACUACUCGCUCGAGUGCUAACACUCUCCUCGUUACGGCCCUCCAACUUUUUCGUCCACAAUAUUUUAAGAAAAACAUAAUUCAAAUAAUAUUUUUUGGUAUCAUUCAUAUUUGUUUUAUAGUUUAUACUCAAGGUUUGUAAUUAUUUUUAAAAUUCGGACCUACAUUUCUCUUAAAAGUACAAUACCUUAAUUAUUCAAAUAAUAAUUUUAACAGAAAGGAUGAGCACCAAAUGGUGGAUAAAUACUAACUAUUAUCUUUAUGUUUACUUUUUGAUGAUAAUUAACAAAAUUAUUUGGUUUUAAAAUUUUAAUACAAUCAAUGAAACACAAUUCACAUACAUGAAUGAUGAAAUUUGAUGUGAUUAAAUAAAUAUUAAAUUUUGUUAUAUUUUUAAUAAUGGAUAUAAGUAAAAUGGUAAUAAACCGGCAUUUUAAUGUCAUUUAAAACAUGUCAAAUAAUUAUUAAAUUAGAUAUUCAAUAUUAAUAAUCAAUAUAUAUUAAUUGAGUUAGACAUUAUAAUUAGUCAUGACUGUCGAAAUUCAAAAUUGUAAAAAUUAAUAUAUAUUGAAUUAAAUGUCUACCAUACAUAAUCUUAUUCAAAUAAUAAUAAUGAAAAAAAAAAAAAGAGUAUUUAAGACAAUUUUGUUGUAUUUGUUUGUUCUAUGAUCCAACUAUGGUAGGUAAGCGUGAUGGAGGCUCAUCAUACUCCCAUCCAGUGGCUUUAAUUUGCUCUAAGGGAAUCGAAAACGAAUCAAUUCUUUUAGCUUCUUCUUCUUCCUCUUCAUCAUCAGAAAUCGACUUUAUUUCCAAAAAAAGUUUUGGGUCGAUUUUGGAGUUCCAAUCAAUAUCAUCUAUAUACAUAUCUGCUGCAUUACUUGUCAACUUAUUUGUGCAAGGAAAACGAUGAUAAUAUUCCCAGAGUCUCUGUUUGGCUUCUUGGAAAGCUUUUAAACCAGCUGAGUCAUCCCAUUCGAAUAGUUUAUCGGUUUUGAACAAAUUAUUGUUUGAUUCAACAAAUCUUUUUCAUGGCAUUGCACCCACUUUUAUGCAGAAUUUUUUCUCCCAUGCAAGUGUUGACACCAUUUUUUGGAUGAAAAACGGGGUCGACUUGGGUUUUGAAAACGAAAACGGGAGUCGCCACCAAUCUUUUUGGAUGAGGUGUGAUUGAGUCACAUCGUAAAAGUGGUUGUUUUUAAUAAACAAUUUAAUUUUAUUAAAACAACGAGUUUGGUCCACGAAAUUCAGAAGAAUGGGUUCGGGAGUCAGUUACGUACGAGGAAGGAUUAGCACCCUCGUAACACCCAAAAAUUGGUACCUAGUUGAUUAGUUAAUGUCUUAAUAUCGAAAAUUGAAAACUUUGAAGAAAUUUAAAAAUACGAUCCUUAUAUUAAAAUGUUGAAAAUUUUCGGAAAAUGGGGGCAUAUUUCACGUUAAUCGAGGAAGAGAAUCAUAUUCAGUAAGUUAGGACACAAUGUCUCGAAUUCCCGAUGCUCGAAUGAAUGCUGGAAAUUUAAAAGGUAUUUAGCUAUCUCGGAUUUAAAAAAGGGAUCACGACCAGUAAGUUAGGACACUAUCUUUUUUAUUCCCGAGAUCAUUUAAAACUUGAGUUUGAAAAGAUUCACGUAUUUAGAUUUAUUGUGAAAAUCGAAACCCAGUAAGUUAGGGUACGACUUUCUCAAAUCUAAACACGAAAUUUUGCUUAUUUUAAAAAUCAUAAUUUAUGCAUCUAAUAAAAUUAAUCUAACAUGAAAUAGUAGAAAUGAAACUCGAUAUUAAUACACGUGUUUAUAUAUAUGUUACAUAUAGACAAAAGAGAUAUGAAUGUGUAUAUUAUAAAACAAUGUAAGUAUGUAUAUACAUGUGUAUGUAUAGGAAGAAUAUAUAUGUGAAAUAUAUAAAAAAAUAAAAUAAGAUAAAAAUAUAAAAAAUAUAUUUCAAUAUAUAUAUAUAUAUAUGAGUAUGAACAUACAUAUUUGUGAGAGAAAAAAAGUAUAUAGAUAUACCUAUAUAUAUAUAUAAAAGAGUAUUCAUGUAUAUAUUAAAUAAGUUUAAUAUAUAUAUAUAUGUAUACGUAUAUAUAUAUGUAAGUAAUUAUAUAUUUAUAAUAUAAUAUGUCACAUAUAUCCAAAAUUUAUAUAAGUAAAUAUGAGUGGAAAUAUAAUGAUAAUAAUAAUAACAUUAAUGAUAUGAUGAUAGUAGUAAUAAGAUUAAAAUAAUUAAUUUAAUAAUAAAAUAGCUAAAAAAAACAAAAGCAGUUUCAAAUUGAAAAUAAACUAAAUCUCAGGGGCGAAAUCAAAACUGAAAAACAAAGAAAUGGAUUAAAAUGUGACGCGCGCGAAAAGAAAUAGGACCAAACGGGGAAAUAAACCAAUCCCUGGACACGUGUCCACUUUCCAGCGCGUCAGUGAGCCAGGGACCCGAUUGAAGACGAAAUAAAAUUUUGGGGCCAAAUUAAAAAAUAAAUAACAAGCAAAAGGGCUAAAUUAGAACAAAUCAAUAAUGAGGAGGGACCAAGAGCACAAAUAGCCCCUUGAUCAGAAACGCGCGGAUCCCCUAGGCGGGUCGGGUCUACGCGCGGAUCCCCCACUAAAACGGCGCCGUUUUGGAAUUUUGAAGGGCUGGGCAAAACGGUGCGUUUUGCCAGCCUAUAUAAAUCAAAAAAAUUUUUAAAAAAAUCAUUUUUAAUCAUUCUAAAAAAAACUCUCUCUCUCUCUCAAAAACCUCUCCCCAGAAACCGACGAAAGGCUCCGGCGCACCUCCGCCGUAGACGGCAGCCGGAGGUGCAAAAUGGAACCUUUCUUAGCCCUACUUGAAGCCCGUUCCCCUUAGAACCUGGAUUCAAAGCCGAAUCCUUUAAAAGUCGAGUCAAAAUCAAAAAGAAGAGAAGGAAUCCUUUAAAAGCCGAACCUCGAUGCCUCUUCUUAGGAAUAAACGCGUCCAACACUUUGCCAUGGAACUCAGAGAUUUUCCAUGGUCCCUUCCAAUGAAAACAAGAAGGAAGAUUAGAAACAUAAACUGAAAUCACCAUUUUCUCCAAGGAUUUAGCCUAGUAAUAGUUAACAGUAACUCCACGGAUCUGAUUAAAAGCACAAGUUAAGUGAAUUACCAAGAAUAAUGUUCUUCAAUACUAUUCCAAAUUCAAUUUUGGAACUUCUGUUAUCAUAGCUUUCAACUGUUUGAAACUCUGAUGGCAUUAUUCAAUCGCACAUAACUAACAUUUUCUGUAGCAACUUCGUCAUGGUAGAGCUAUCAUCGACAAGCCUGAACAAAUCAUCUAUAGUAUACAAUAAAUCCUAGAAAACUACACACUUCUAUAUUAUUUCCCAGAGAUUCCCUAAUUCACAUUUAUCAGGAGUUCAUUUGAAAUAACUCAAAUAUCUUNNNNNNNNNNNNNNNNNNNNNNNNNNNNNNNNNNNNNNNNNNNNNNNNNNNNNNNNNNNNNNNNNNNNNNNNNNNNNNNNNNNNNNNNNNNNNNNNNNNNUUCACAUUUAUUGAUCUUCACAAAUAAUUAUUUCUUUCGUAAUGUCUGUAACACUGUAACACUGUUUCUCCAAAACUAAUCGUGUUCAAUUUUUUUUUCUUCACAUGAAUUGAGUAUCUUUAAUUAUCUAACAACAACUCUGAUAUGAUACAGCUAGAAACUUUUGUCUAUUAAAUAUAGAGUAAACUACACCUAUGGUCACUUUUGUUUACUUUAGGUUACAUUUUGGUAACUUAUGUUUAAAAUAUUACGUUUUAGUCACUUACGUUAUCGUGUUGUAACAUUUUAAUCAUUGAGCCGUUAAUUGCCAUUAAUGGUGUAAUGGUAAGCUGACAUGGCACGUUAAAUCAUCAUUUCAAACAACAAUUUUAGGUUAAAUCAUACAACCGAUCCCCAUAUUUUUUUUAUUUUGGGCAAUUUAAUUUUUUUUGUUUAAUAUUCUUUAAAAUUUACUCUCUCUUUUUUCUCUUUAUUUUCCAUUAUCUUCUGUUUCUCCUUCUAUUUUCCUACCUUCUCCAUGUCUUUUAACAUAUUAAGAAGUCGAAUUGGCAGUGAAGAAAGAAGUAGAAAGUCGAAAGCCAUCAUUGCCUAUAAUCAAAACCCAUAAACCAGUUCGACUUUCUGAUAUGUUAAAAGAAAUGGAGAAUGUAGGAAAACAGAGGGGGAAGCAGAAGAAAAUGGAAAAUAAAGAAAAAAAAGAAAGUUAAAAGAACAUAAAAGAAAAAAUUUAAAUUGCUCAAAAUGAAAAAAAUAUAAGGACCAAUUGUAUAAUUUAACCUAAAUUUUUGUUUGAAAUGAUUAUUUAACGUGCCACGUCAGCUUACCGUUACAUUGUUAACAGCAAUUAAUGGCUUAAUGACUAAAAUGUCACAACAUGAAAAUGUAAGUGACUAAAACGUAACAUUUCAAAUAUAAGUGACUAAAAUGUAAACUGAAGUAAACAAAAGUGACCAUGGAUAUAGUUUUCCCUUAAAUAUAUAAAGUGACCAUGCAAUUGAUAAUCAUAUACAAUAAUCAACAUUUGACUAAACUUUGCAACCUAUACAAGUCUUUUUGGGAUUUCGACGAAAUAUAAACAAAAAUCCCGAGAAGAUACUUAAAACAUUUACUCAUCCAUGGCAAUUGAUUGAAAAUAUUUGGGUUGUUGUCUAGCUCAUAAUCGUAUACAAGGUCAAUACCAAAUUCUAGCACAGAUAAAUCUGAAAGAACUCGAAGACUAACAUGAUCACCAGCUUCUAAUUCAUCACCCCUAAAGUUCCAACAAGUCGUCCAGUAUAAGGUAUUCUUAGUUUCAGGAAUUCCCAUGAAAUGUUUGGAGUAGGUCCACUUUGUACCUUUGGUCUCAUUCACAAUUUCAAGGCAUGGUAAAAAUCCAUAUGUUUUAUCAUUCUUGGCAGAAAAAAUGAUAAUUGAAUUUAAGAAGCAACUUAUCUUUCGACUAGAGUUUGGGGGCACUGAUAUUGAAACCUCAGUCUUGCCAGCUUGAUGGCCAUAGUAAUGACCAGUGUAAUCAAAUGGCAUUGGAUCAAGUGUUGUAAUUAUACCGUAAUCAUAUAAUACCUGUAGCAUUGGGUUAGAGAAUGAGUUAUUAAAAAGUAUAUAGUAUAUAAAUAGUUUUAAAAACUUGGAACUUGUAAAGGGAACCUGUGGGGAAGCAACCACUUUUGAUCCUUCUAUAUAACUGCAAAGUUGCACUUUAACAUCUCCAUAAGAUUCCAAACUGGGCAAGUGUUUAGUUAGGUCCAUCUUGAUAUUUCUUGCGGAAACUUCAUCUCCUAAAAUAUGUAAAAUAAUGUGUUAUUUAUCAAUUUUAGUGAUCAUCAACAUAAUAUGCUUAUUAGAAAGUAAUAGUAUUGACUUGAAUGAAGUGAUAAUUAAAGCUUUUAUCAGAUACCCAUUUGACACGAAUUCAAAUCGUGACCCAUCCCCUAUACUCAAUAUUAUAUAAAAAAAAAGAUAUGAAAGUAGUAAUGUUAUUAUCACUAAAAUGUAUUAUAAGACUUGUAAAAAAUAAUCAAUUAUACACAUUAUAUCUUUAUUUUUUAUUUUUAUAUAAAGUAUAAACUUUAAAACUAUUAAAUAUGUUAGUCAAAACACCAUUGUUAUAAUUUUAUCCAUUAUUUUAGUUUCCACUUCUAUUAGUACUAUUGGAUUAAUCAUUUAUCAAACAAUUAACUUAUUUUCAUUAGACGCCAAUCGCAGCAUAACUUUAUAAUUAUCACUUUAUUAUUAAGCUAAAUUUCUCUCAUAAUCUAUUAAAUUGUCAUAUUUCUUGAUAAUAUUUUAUUGUAUUAGAAAGUCUUUUAGAGAAACAUUCAUCAUUUCUUGAAAACUUGUUAUUCACAUAUAAAAUGAAACAAUAAAAUAAAUAUAAUAGGAUGUAUUUACUAAAAUAUAAUUAAUUAAAAAUUUUAAACCCUAAAUCUUAGUUAAAAAACCGUUCUAUCUCCCCCUUUUUUUAGUUUUCUUUUUUAGUUGACUAAGAAAGCUAUUAUCAACAAAAGAGGAUUCAAUGGAGGGUCCAGGUAUGUCUUCUUUACCGAUAAAAAUUCUGAUGAUAAUAGCUUUCUUAGUCAACUGAAAAAGAAAACUAGAAAAAGGGGAAGAUGAACGGUUUUUAAACUAAGAUUUAGGGUUUAAAAUUUUUAAUUAAUUAAAUUUAAUUAAUUAUAAAUCUAUUCUCAUCCCAUUAGGAAAUUCAAGUUGGCACUUAAAAUCUAGUUGGACUGCCACGUAGGAUUACCGUUAGGGAGAUAACGGAACUUAACGGAAGAGUGAUCACUUCGUAACAAAAUAAUAACAUAAGUGACUAAAAUGUAACCUGAGGUAAACAAAAGUGACUAUUUUUGUAGUUUACCCUUUACUAAAAUAAAAUUAUUUGAAGUCUACUCAUACCUGUAGAUAAGUGCGAAAAGCCAUAUUCAUAUCUAAUGUUGUGUUCUGAUUCAUAAGUAACGCCAAAUUUUCUUAUGCUGAGAUGAAUAGGCACUACCAUGCAACUCACAACGUCACCACCUUCAAACUGACAGUCCGUUACUGGCCAAUGAAUCAACCACAACAUUGUGUUAUCGUUAGUCUGAGGAAUUUCAAUGAAAGUUGAGCUAUAUCUCUGCAUGAUCAUUUUGGUCUCAUUGAAAAUGUGGACACUUGGAAGAAUCUCCAACAUUUGAUCACUAGCUAAAGAGAAAACAAUGCAUAAGCUGAACCGAUGGAUCUUUUCAUCAGGAUGAGAUGGUGUUGGCAAAGAAAAAGAGAUUCGGUGCUCGUUAGUGCGAUGCUUAAACACAAUCGGAACUUCACUUCCUAUAACAAAUGUGCUUGUUACACCAUAUUCCUGCAAGACCUGAUCCAAAAAGAACAAGUUAGAUGAUUUAGUAGCAUAAGAGAAAAAAUAGAUUUAAAAUUUAACUUGGAGAACUAUUGGACCUGUGGGGUAGCUAGCAUUAUGCUGUCUGUUAGGUAGCUAUAAAGUUGCAGUCGGUUUCUGUUAAUGGAAUCCACGUUGAAUAAUCUUCUAAUCUCUUCUGCUUCAAAGUUUUCAAUUGGUUCCAACUUGAAUAGAUCUUCAACCUCAGUCAAUUUUUCACAUCCAAAAAUAACACAUCGUGUGGAAGAAAAGAAGCAUGGAAGAAUUAUUCGGAAUGAAGACUUGUCUCCAAAAAUAAAGUUGCACUUAAAAACAUUGAGCAAGACCGGAAGCUUUGGAAUCAUUUGGAGUUCAGUGCAAGAAGUCAAUAGAAGUUCAUCAAGUUUUGUAAGGUUUUUUAAGCUUUCGGGUAGGNNNNNNNNNNNNNNNNNNNNNNNNNNNNNNNNNNNNNNNNNNNNNNNNNNNNNNNNNNNNNNNNNNNNNNNNNNNNNNNNNNNNNNNNNNNNNNNNNNNNNNNNNNNNNNNNNNNNNNNNNNNNNNNNNNNNNNNNNNNNNNNNNNNNNNNNNNNNNNNNNNNNNNNNNNNNNNNNNNNNNNNNNNNNNNNNNNNNNNNNNNNNNNNNNNNNNNNNNNNNNNNNNNNNNNNNNNNNNNNNNNNNNNNNNNNNNNNNNNNNNNNNNNNNNNNNNNNNNNNNNNNNNNNNNNNNNNUCUUCAAGUGAUAUUAAUGAACCUAUUGUCCUUGGAAGUUUCCUAAGACUUGUGCAAUCUUUAAGGUUCAAGAAAGUAAGUAUCUUUAGCUCACCAAUGGAUUGAUCAACUUCCACCAAAUUUAUGCAAUCUUUGAGCAUCAACUUCUCAAGGCUAGGGAGUCCUGAAAAGCUUGGGGUUUUAAGAAGGCUAUGUGAAUGGUUGAGAUUAAGGAUCUUUAAAUUUGGGAGGCACUGCAAAAAAAGAAAGAAAGAAAGAAAGAAAACCCUUCAUUUAUAUUAUUGUUUCACACACACACAAAAAGAAGGAAAAUUAGUAUAUAUCAUAUACCUCUGUAUCCUUCCAAACUUGUUUAAGUUUACUGUUGCGCAUGUCGAGAACAACUAGUUCAUUGAUAUCAAAAUCCACCGGAAAAGAUUGCAUACAAAACCCAUGCCAACGUAACCAUCUUAAUCUUUUGGGAAAGUCUUUGAAGUCUCCUUUAAGUCUUACAUAAUCCAGUUGAAGCAGUUUAAGUCUCUUCAUCUUUGCAAAUGCUUGAGUUUCCAUAUCAACAUCAUUUGCCAUGAGAAACUGACUUUUGGAAUGCUUUGGAAAAUGUAGAGUUGUAUUUGUCCUUUCAGCCUUGUCUUCUAGCAAUCCUUUUAGGUCAAUUGUGAGGCACUUAACUGUUCUGGAACCCUGCAUGAGAAAAACUUUCUUAAAAAAUAAAAAGAAAUUUGAUAAAAAAAAAGUUGAGUAAAAUGAUGUUUCUUACAAUUUUUCUCUUAUUACAUCAAACGCGUUCUUAUGCCACAAUCUGCUUCGUUUCCCAAAAUUAGAAGAUUCUUGGCGAAUAAUUUCUCGUCCCAUGUCUCUAAUCAUUUGGUGCAUCAUUAGCUUGUUUUUUUCAUUAAUGAUUAAGAGAGACCUGCCUACUAGAUUUUCAAUUCCAAUUGUUGUAUAGAAAUCACAACCAUCUAGAAUUGUAGUCGUGUAAUCUCUAUCCUUCCCAAUGAAUAAAGAAACUAUGUCAAGGAAUAAAUUUUUGUCAUGAUCGUCUUCCAAAGAAUCAUAGCUUAUUCUUAGAAUCUCUUGAAUUUUGCUGUCAGGGAUUUCUUCCAAUUUCUCCAAUGCACUUUUCCAAGAACUCACACUUUUGGUAGAUAAUGAAGAGCCCAAAAUUUGAAGAGCUAAUGGAAGCCCACCACAGUGUUUCACUAAACUUCUUGCAUAUGCCAUUGAACUUUCAGGCACUGAGUUAUGACCAAAAGCAUACCAAUUAGAAAGUUGUAGCGAUUCACUUGAAGCUAAUUCUUUUACUUCAAAUAGCUUGCUUAAGCCUCCACAACUAGUUGAUGCUUCCAAAUCAAACAUUUGGCUUAUAAAAUGUGCAUUCAAUAGGCAUCGGUUUCUACUUGUUAUGAUGAUUUUACUUCCGGGAUGAAAAGGAAUUUGAGUUCCCAUUAAUUUUCUUGUUUUUUCCAAUUCAUCAACAUCAUCAAGAACAAGAAGAACUCUUCUACAACAUACAAUUUCUUUGAUCUUGUUAAUUCCAUUGUCUAUAUUGUAUAUUUUAUGUGAUUUUCCUUUAAGAAUAUCUGAAAGAAGUUGGCUUUGCAAACGGACUAAACCAUUGCAAUCUUGACUUGUUUCUCUAACAUCAGCAAGGAAACUAUAACCUUCAAACCUCGGGAUAUUUUGAUUGUAAACAACUUUGGCAAUGGUUGUCUUCCCAAUGCCUCCAAUGCCACAAAUAGUUGCAAUGCCAACUUUAUUUGCUCCAUCUUGUUCUAACCAUUGAUUAAUUUGUGUCACAAGAGAAUCUAUUCCAACUAAAUAAGGAGGGACAUACAAAGAAAUAAGAUGAAGUUUAUUUUGAACUUCUUUAACAAUAUCUUGGAUGAAUUGUGAUUCAUGCCUGCAAAUUUAAAAAAUACAACUCAAUAGUAAAAUCUUGGAAAUUAAGUAAAGGUUACUAAUGUAUUUUCUUUUUUCUUGCAUAUAUUUUGAUUGCUUUUAUGAGAUUAUAUGUUCAAGUAAAAAUAAGAAACUAUGCAGCAUUUCAAUAUAUAUGAUAGAAUUAUUACAUUCAAAAUCAAAUCAAAUCAAAUAAAGCAACAUAAAAAUUAAUGAAAUUCAUUCGAGAAACAACCUAUACUCAAAAUUUCAACUUUCUCUUUGUGAAAGUUUAAUAAAUUCAUGUUAUUUACAUGAAUUUAUAUAUUUAUUUUUUAUUUAUUGUAAUAUUUUGAAUAUGUGUAGACCUAUUACACGAAUAACUUUGAUAUAAUUGUUGCAAAUAUACUACCGCAAAAUAUAAUUGUUAAGGAGACCAAACUGAAUGUAAAUAAAAUAAGAAUCAUUGUGUUGUGGAAGAACCACUGUAAUAUUAGAGACAAAUUCGCCCUGAUCGGUGUAAUUGUGUAAUGGAUGUUACCCCCCAACACAAUACUCCAAUAUUCUUAAACCCAAUAAAAAAGAUGGAACACGAUUGACAAUACUCCAAAUAGUCCUACUUAAAACCUAGUCUCUUAGACAGAAUUUCCCUCUCGUGUAAUUUUGCAUAACACUAGAAUUUAGAGAACAUAGAGAAGUUGUUUUUCUCUUGUUAUGUUAGGUAGGAGAAUGACCUCCUAUUUAUACUAUUUUUUGAUGAGCAAAAUGGUAAAAUAAAAGUUUUAGUUUUUAAAAAUAACAAAGGAUUUUUCUAACUUAAAAUAUUCUAAAAAUAUUUUCUGCAACAGUCAGAAAAUUUUCCGCAAUUCAAAAUAUUCUUUUGCAUUACCAACAAUGACAUCUUAGAAAACCACAAAUAGUGUCAUUAAAUUAAAGAGGCUAUUUCUUUUUAUUUUUAACUCGUCAAAUCCAAGUUGUUCAUGUGAUAGGUGCAAACGUAUUUAAAAUUUGAUCUAUGUGUUUUAAAAACAUCCCAUAUCAGAUUCGAGCUAACAUUUAAUGCUUAAGCUGAUGACUUAUUUGAUAGAAAGACCUCAAUGAUACAAUACUAAUAUUUUAAUGACUCAAUUAAAACAUGUUAAUGUUUGAGAAAUAAUUUAAAAUCUAUCUUAUAAUUAACCCUCUAAAAUGGAUUGAAGUAACCAUUUUAAUUUCCAAACGCUACCUAACAAUAUUUUCUAUUAAUUUUCUUUCUACUCUAGCAAGUCUUAAUGAAAAGGAUUGAAGUAACCAUAUGGAACUUAAUUAAGUGUAUAACGUACCUGUCUUGUAGAACCAUGCCUCCUAUAGCCGCAACUUCUUUUAAAGCAUUCCUCCAUCUUUGUACCAUGUUGGUUUCGGACUUGAAGUUUUGUUCAUGUUGGGUAAAUGCUUCUGCAUAACUUCCCGUCUGGUUCUUGACUUGACUGGGAUCCACAUCAUAGAAAACUGGCAACACAAUAUGUUUAGAGGAUUUCUUGUGCUCCAAUAUCAUUACAAGUUCGUUAAGACACCAUGUGGAUGCAGCAUAAUUCUUUGAGAAAACAACGAUAGAAAUUUUGGAGUGGUGUAGUAUUGCUUUUUCAAUUUCAUCUUUUAUGUUAUUCCCUCUCUCGAUUUCCUCAUCAUCUCUAAAUGUUUGAAUUCCUAAGUGCACCAAAGCUGUGUAAAGAUGACCCGUGAAACUUUUGCGCGUAUCUUCACCUCUAAAACUCAAGAAUACAUGAUAACUACAUCGCGAGAUUUCUGACACUGCCAUUGAAGAAGAAAAUGAAGUCGUCCUGUAUUUUUUAUGUAAUAACAAGGUUCCAGCAUAUAUAUAUAUAUAUGAAUGGCAAAGCAGAUAUUAUUAGCAGUCAAGUGGCAGUUCCCAAUCCAUGGUGGGUCAAUCCUUCGACCAGUUCAUACAACUGCCCGAAGACAUUCAAGUCGGCCAUGUUGUGUUUUUCCAAAUCUACCAACUUGGGUUACGUAUUCUAUAUUAUUAAUUUUGCUUGACAAAUACAAUGUAUUGAUUAACUUGAUGGUUAUAGCUAACACAACACGUAUAUAGACAUCAUCUUCAGGCUAAUAUUAGUAAAAAUAUUAUGAAGGUUCUUGUAUUUUAAGUCAUAUUAUAUUUUGUUUUCUCUACUUAAAAAAUAUUAAAUUAAUUUUUGUAUAUUAUAUUAAAAAGUAAAUUAGUUCAUUUGUUAAAAAAAUUAUCUAUUGUUAUUGUUAAAAAUUGAUCUAUGUAAUCAACAUGAGGUAUAUGUGACACGCCACAUGCAACUAUCUGAUUAUUUCAUCAUUCAAUUUAGUUUUUAACAACAAAAAUGAAUGAAAUUUUUAAUAAAAAUGAUAAAUUUGUUCUUUUAUAUAAUGUAUAUGGACUAAUUUACUUGUUUUUAAAUAAAAUGGGUUAAUUACAAUUUGACUCUAAGGGUCCACAGUGGGCGAACCAACUCAUGUCGGNNNNNNNNNNNNNNNNNNNNNNNNNNNNNNNNNNNNNNNNNNNNNNNNNNNNNNNNNNNNNNNNNNNNNNNNNNNNNNNNNNNNNNNNNNNNNNNNNNNNUUAUAUAAUGUAUAUGGACUAAUUUACUUGUUUUUAAAUAAAAUGGGUUAAGUACAAUUUGACUCUCAAUAGAAUGAUCUCCAUGAUACUUUUACCGGCUAAUACCUUGGUGGAUACACUCAAUAAUUAAACCACAACCACAUAUAUCACAUAGACAUCACAUUAAACAUUCAAGCUUGGUAUAGUAAAGAGACAAUUUUAGUAUCUAUGCAUGAAUGAAGAAUUAAUUAUUUUUGGAAAAGAAUUGGUGAUUAAAUUGAUCAGAUCAUCAAUUUUUUAUUUGAUUUGUUCGUGUUAUCUAAAAUAAAUAAAUUUUUAAAGACUAAAAAAAUAAUAAAAAAUAAAAAUUCACUUAUAUUGCACAUUAAAGUAAAUUGAAAAUGUGAAUUGAGAGGGACAUAAGAGAAGAAGAAUAAUUCCGAAGUAUUUGGUGUGGAAAAUAUUGGUACUAGAAAACGCGUUUCAAUCGCUUUUCAUCUCGGAGUCAUGCUUACGGUCCAUUAUUUGGUGCUCAACAUUUGGUCCAUUUGGUGGGGAAAAUUCAACGAAUAUUCUUACCAUAUCUACUUUAAAAUUUUAAUAUAAUUAAUGAAAAACAAUUCACAUAUAUGAAUCAUCAAAUUUGACAUGCUUAGAGAACCUCAUGUGAUGACCUGAUGAUUAAGAUUAUUCAUAAACCCAAAUGUGGUCUAGAUUUGAAUCGCGUUACUUGCGUUGGUUAUUCGAGCUUUACUUGUUAUUGUAAUUAAAAAAUUAAUAUAAUUAAAUAAAUAUUGAAUUUUGUCACAUUUAAUAUAGAGGACGUAAGAGGAGGAGGAGGAUAAUUCCCAAGUACUUGGUGCGGAAAAUAGUGGUACUAGAAAACGCGUUUCAAUUACGUUUACGUUCCAAGACUUUAGACCAUUAGCAAUUAAAGAGGGGCUUCAACAAAAUUACAUAAUAAAUUCGUGGGCUAACCAAUUUCAGUGCAAUAAAAGUAGUGAAGAGGAUGGGAUAAGGUUAAGGUUUACAUUGUUGGUAAUGCAAAGUGGAAUCUCUCGUUACAGCCUUCAAAUUUUUUGGUUCACAAUAUUUUAGGAAGAACUCGAUUAUAAUAUUUUUUUCGUGAUUAUUUUUUUCAAUAAUAUUAUUUUUAAAAUUCAGAUCUAUAUUUUUUUUAAAAGUAUAAUAUGUCUUAUCAUUAUGUCUAACAAUUGCUAAUUAUUCAAAUAAUAAUGCUAACAAAAAGGUUGAGCACCAAAUGGUUGAUAAGUACUAACAAGCUCAUGGUCUAAAGUCUAGAUCGAGUAGCGCUAUUAUUCAAAACGUAGUGAAACAAAUUAAUUCUUUCUCCGACGUUUAAUUAUCAAUUUUAUUGUUGUGACUCCAUAACUAAAAUUUAGCUAAACCCUUUAUUCAAGAGUGUAAUUAUUCGAAUAGGAUCAUGUCUCUUUUAUGGUGGAAUACUAAUUCAUUUGAUUACAUGGACUUGUUCAUAAAAAUUCUCUUAAAAUAUUGAACAAAUAUCAAUUGGGUGUUCUGAUUUAAAUAUUUAGUUUUUAAGAGAACAUAUUCUUACCUCAUUAUGCCUUCUCGAAGAUUUAUGUCAAAUCCAAACUGAUGUGAGUUGGUAGCCGUGAUGAUAAUCAAUUCUCUAAUAUUUCAAGGAGUUUUGUCCAUAAGUAAAAGUCUUUGGUAAAAGUAUUAGAUAAGUAAUUGAUAAAAAAAUUCAUUCUAAAGGCAACUAGCAAAGAACUAUUUAAUAUUUUUAAACAUUCAUGAAGAAUUUUAUGUACUUUUAUUGAAUGGAAUAGAUUUUUUUUCCUAAUAGAGGAACCACGAGAAGCAGGAUGUUUUCUCUUGACCUAUUCAAAAUGUACUUGGCAACUUGUUCUUGUAAGGAAAACCAUAAUAAUUUUCCCUGUUUGAAAUCUUGAAAAUCUUUUAAAUUAAUCGAAUCAUCUCGCUCGAAUACUUUAUCAGCUUUAUACAAAUUAUUCUUCGCAUCAAUAAAUAUUUUUCAUGAUAUUGCACCCACUUUCAUGCAAAAUUAUUUCUCCCAUGCAAGGAAUAGCUCCAUGAAUUACUGUCAUCUUUUAGUUUAAGAUGAAUAAAUUUCGAUCAGUAAUAACUUUCUUGAUGAACAGGAUAUCUAUUUUGAUGACAUGAUAUGAUUUCUUUUGAUUCAAGAAAGACAAUUGAUGACUAGAAAUUGAACGACUUGGGUUUAUAUACGAUUAUAACUAUUUAAAGUUUAAAGUGUUCAUGUCUUGCGGUAUAAUAUUACAAUUACAAGUACAAGAGAAGAGAACCAUUUUAGUAAUACACAAUACAUUUACAAUAUGGCACACAUUUACCUUACUACAUUUUUCUUCUUUACAAUUACCUUAUUUAUAAAGUUUAGGGGUUGUUAGAUUAUUAACACAUGUAAACAUCCUUACCAUUUAUUUUAUAAAUAUCUAAUAAUUAGGAUGUUCAUCUAAAAUAUUUAAUUUUCUAGAUAAUAUCCUAUAUUCUAGAAUCUUCCCAAUAAAAUAUCUCUUAAAAGAUAAGUAUAGAUAUACAACAUUUCUAUCUUUUAAACAUUGUACAUACAUAUUUUUUUAUGAUUGUGUAAAAAUAAAUAUUGUACAACCUCUUUAAUGUCUUCUAAAAAUAAUAAGAAUAUAAAUACAUAUAUUCACGUACAACCCACGCCAUUUUGAACAUUAGUUUUACUCAAUGUUGUAACUGCCUUGCCUUAUAUUUUCUCUAUAUCCUAUAAUUUAACAUAAAACACCUAACAGAACACGUGUUACUACAAUAUUUUUGGGUGAAUUUGUUAUAUUCUACUUUACCAUCUUUCUUAUUCAUAGUUAAUAUUUAUUUUUUAUGUUUAAAAUAAUAUUAAAAGUAAAAAUUUAAUUAAAAUGGUUUACUGCAUAAAAUUAAUAUAUAACUUAAUAUAUAUCAAGAAAAUUACGAAUUUUUAAUUUAUACAAUUAUUUUUUAUAUUUUAUUUUUUCAAUAUAUUCAAAUUAAAUUUUUAAGUAAAUAAAUGUAAUUAAAUUAAAUUAAUACACAUAACCAACUCGGAAUAAAAACCUAAUUUUUUAAUCUUUUUUCUUAUUCAUAUGAUUUUAACUUUUGCCUUUUAUAUGUCAUCUAAGUGCACGUAUAGUAUCAUUCAUAACCAAACUACUAUUAAUGGAUGAAUCAACUUAAAAACCCUCAUCCAACAUAAAAGUUCCUCUUCAAAUUUAAAAACUCUCAUCCAAUUUGGAUUUGGAAAUUUCUUAUUUGAAUAAUUCUUACCUGAAAAAUCUCAUCUCAUCAAAAUAUUUUCUCUAAUCUGAAUUUACUAGGGUAAUCAAUGUUCACAAAAAGUACCAUGUAUGCAUCACUUGAACAAAAUAACGAGAAGCAGCAAUUACUCUAGCUGUUGUUUCUUCUUUAACCUAGCCAACUUCAAAUUGGCUUCUCGGAUAGUUUCUCGCAAUUUCUUUAUCUCUCACUACACCAAAACAGGCCUUUAGCGGCAUUUUUAGUGGCGUUUGAAUAAAAAAAGCCGCUAAAAAUCGAGUAUUAGCUUGAUCCUCCAAUAUUUGACGAGUCUUUGCCAAGUUAUCCUUUAGCCAUGAAAGUUCCAAUCAGGGGAUCUCCAUGUCUUUCACCCUUACCAACAUAUCAUCGUUAUCAGUUAGCUCAAGCUUAUUCAGAUCGCUUUCUAAUCUUCAAUAAAUUUCAGCAACUGCAUUCAUAAUGUUGCUUUAAAACUCUUGAUUGUUCAAUCGAAAUUGGUCAGCAAAGUGAGCAUGGUUUUGAAAUAUUUUAUUGAGCGCGUCAGCAUUGUAUUGAGAAACCUCGUAUCUGUUGAUGAUGACAGCUGUGACAUCAAAGGUUGAGAAUAAAUGAAAUAAUUAUCUUCAAUAUAACUCAAAGAAACAAUAAAUUCAUGAAAUAGUAGCUUGCAGCCAUUACUUUGGAGCAAAUCAUCUAACCAACUUUUCUGAGCCACAAAAUCUCCACUUCUCCCAAAGCACCCAUAUGAUUAGAAGAUUCAGGAUUCAAAUGUGCUGGAGAAACCUAUAAGCAAAACAGAAUCAGAUAUUGGUCCAAAAAUAAGCAGAUAAAAUUAAAAACUUUACAACAUGACAACACAAUAAAUAAGGAGAAGAGUAAACAGCAUUACGCAGAGAAUUAGAAACUGACAGCCUUCCUACUCAGGAUUUCUCUUUUUUUUGUGUGUGUUUCUAGUUGAUAUUUCUUGUUUGAUUUGGUAUCUUACCAUAAAUGUGGGAUCAAUCAGACAGUCCUGAAAUAACUAUUUAAAGUUUAAGUGUUCAUGUCGUAUCUCUCUUACACUAUAAUAUUAAAGUUUUGGAUUCAAACUUCAACCUGGUACAUAAACUUGAAUGGACAAUAGCAGGAUAGCAUUCUCUCUACAACUACAUGUAAACAAGAGAAUGAAUGAAGAAAUUAAAGAAAAAAUGAAUAGUGAUGAUCCGAUCAGUUUAUAGUUUGCAAAAGAUAAAAUAGACAGCUCGUUAAAGAAAUUAAAGGAAUGACAAGUUCUACAAACAUGCCUGUAGGAGUAAGAGAGAUGAGUUAAAAACUUAAUUGGUGAUAACUGAAUAUUGAACUUCAUUUUUGCAUCAUUCAUUAAAAUAAUAGAAAAGAAGUUAGUGGACGAUACAUGCUUGCAUUUUCAGGUCAUAAUUUGCUCUGUGAAACUCAAAAUUCAAUCCUUACCACCUUUUGGUCGCUUGUUUCCAUUUUCAAUGUUAAUUUCUCUACUCUUCCUCCCACAUGUAUUAGGGUAAAAUUCACUUUCUCAGCUAGUUUCUCUUGAUCAAUCAUCUUCAUUCGAAAUAUAUAAAGAUGAGUAGCAAAGCAAAACAGAGAACAGAACAAUAGAGGCAGACCAGUUACUAAAUGCUCACCUCUUUAAGAUUGUUCAAACAAAUUACUAAGAAAUGUUAUGGCAACGUUAAAAAGCCUACUCCUUAAUUAACUUGAUGAUAAGCUAUUUUGCAAGACUCAUGUUUGCUACAAUUACAUUUUUUUUCUACAAAAGGGUUUUCAUGAUAAAUGUAAAACCUUAUACUCCAUUGAUUAAAAGAGGACAUCCUAACACUCCUUUUGCUAUAUAAAAGCCUUAUAUAUAAUCCCUGCAUGUAAGCUUCAAAUCGUACAAUAGACUCAUAAUUCAUACCUGUAAAUGUUCAUGCUUGCAAAUAAUAGGUAUAUAAAUAAUGACAGGAUCUUUAAUUACCUCUGAUGUCAGAUGUCACAACAGCCAUCGUCAACAGAUACGAGAUUCAUCAACACAAUGCUGACGCGCUCAAUAAAAUAUUUCAAAACCAUGCUCACUUUGCUAACCAAUUUCAAUUCAAUAAUCGAGAGUUUCAAAGCAACAUUAUGACCGCAGUUGGUGAAAUUUACCAGAAAUUAGAAAGCAAUCUGAAUAAGCUUGAGCUAACUGAUACCAAUGAUAUGUUAGUAAGGGUGAAAGACACGGGGUCCCCGGUUUGGAGCUUUCAUGGCUAAAGGAUAAGUUGGCAAAGACUCGUCAAACAUUGGAGGAUCAAGCAGAGAUAAAGAGAUUGUAAGAAACUAUUCGAGAAGCCAAUCUGAAGUUGGCCAGGUUAGAGAAUAAACAACAGCUAGAGUAAUUUCUGCUUCUCGUUAUUCCGUUAAAGUAAUAGCAGCCAAGGCUCUGUCUAGCCUCUCGUACAAAUUGCCGUGACACUAGGUGAAUUUUGGUCUUUGGAAUCCCAGGUCACAUAGAUGAUUAUUAGAGCAAAACGAUUGGAAAUGAGAACACCCCCUACCGCCUUUCCACUCAUCCAUACUUAGAAUAGAGUUAAAAUCACCGCUAAGAAUCCAUGGUUUUGUCAUAUUAUCUACAAUCAAACUUAAACAUUCCCAUAAAAUAUUCCUUUUAUUGAUUUGAGGACUAGCAUAAAUGAUCGAGACAAAGAAUUGUCAUUGAAGAGCAGACUCUUUAAUCUUAACAGUAGUUGAAAUACUUUCAUCGCCCAAUAUAAUUCGUAACAUUUUGACCACUACAGCCCAGCAACCCUGCAUAUCUUUUCCGAGGAAUAUUCUUACUUGAUCUAUUCAAAAUGCACUUGGCAACUAGUUCUUGCAAGGAAAACCAUAAUAAUUUUCCCUGUUUGAAAUCUUGGAAAUAUUUUAAAUCAACCGAAUGAUCUCACUCGAAUACUUUAUUAAUUUUAUACAAAUUACUCUUCGCAUCAACAAAUAUUAUUCAUGACAUUGCACCCACUUUCAUGCAGAAUUAUUUUUAGUUUAAGAUGAAUAAAUUUCGACUAGUAAUAACUUUCUUGAUGAACAUCAUAUCUAUUUUGAUGAUAUGACAUGCUUUCUUUUGAUUCAAGAAAGACAAUGAAUGACUUGAAAUUGAACCAUGAUUUUAAAGGACUUGGGUUUAUAUAAGAUUAUAUGGGCGGUAAUUCAAUUCCCUUUUCCUGGUUGGAAAAGGAAUUCCAUUUUGACUUUAACUGUGAUUUUUAAGUUGUUGUUUUCUUAUUGUUAAUUAUUUAAAAAAUAAUCGCAUUUUAACUUGCAAACUUAAAUCUUAAACUAUUAUCUUUAUGUUUACUUUCUGGUUAUAAUUAACAAAAAUAUUUGGUUUUAAAAUUUUAAAACAAUCAAUGAAACACAAUUUACAUAUAUGAAUGAUGAAAUAUGACGUGAUUAAAUAAAAUGUUAAAUUUUGAUAUAUUUCUAAUAAUGAAUAUAGCCAAAAUGGUAAUAAAUCGGCAUUUUAAUGUCAUUUAAAAGGUGUCAAAUAAAUAUUAGAUUAGAUAUUCAAUAUUCAUAAUCAGUAUAUAUUAAUUGAAUUAGACAUUAUAAUUAGUCAUGACUAUCGAAAUUCAAAAUUGUAAAAAUUAAUAUAUAUUGAAUUAAAUGACUACCAUACAUAACCUUAUUCAAAUAAUAAUAAUGAAAAAAAGAGAGUGUUUAAGAUAAUUUCAUUGUAUUUGCUUGUUCUAUGAUCCAACUAUGGUAGGUAAGCGUGAUGUAGGCUCAUCGUACUCCCAUCCGGUGGCUUUAAUUUGCUCUAAUGGAAUCGAAAAUGAAUCAAUCCUUUUAACUUCUUCUUCUUCCUCUUCAUCACCGGAAAUCGACUUUAUUUCCAAAAAAAGUUUUGGGUCGAUUUUGGAGUUCCAAUCAAUAUCAUCGAUAUACAUAUCUGCUACAUUACUUGGCAACUUAUUUGUGCAAGGAAAACGAUGAUAAUAUUCUCAGAAUCUCUGUUUGGCUUCUUGGAAAGCUUUUAAACCAACUGAAUCGUCCCAUUCGAAUACUUUAUCUGUUUUGAACAAAUUAUUUUUUGAUUCAACAAAUCUUUUCCAUGGCAUUGCACCCACUUUUAUGCAGAAUUUUUUCUCCCAUGCAGUAAUGGUUCCCAUGAAUUACCGUUAUCAUUCAGUUUGGAACGAGUAAAUUUCGGACUGUAAUACCUUUCUGGGCGAUUAUGAUAUCUUCUUUGAUAGUAUAGCAUGAUUUCUUGUAAUCCAAACAAAUAAAUGAAUUGAAAUCGCUAAUGAUAUGAAUUUACAGUGAGGAAAAGGAAUUCUAAUUUCAUCUAUUUUCUAAAUAUUUAUAUAAUAAAAUUAUUAAAAAAUAACUAUAUCUGUAUUGAUUCGUUUCCCUCUUAUUGAUAGCUUACAUCCCUAGCUUCUCUAGAAUCCUCAUUGACUAUCUGAUCUCUUCACCUAUUGGUGUUCCCCCAAGAAUUUUUUUUCUAGUUUUCUCCUCCUAAUUCAUCUCUACGAUCAUCACCUCCUAGCUUACCAUUUUCAACUUUCUUCCAGUACACCACUUUUCCCUUAAAGCGAGCUAAGUUCACAUUUACUUUACUUCCAUAUAUACAGAAUCCGUUAAGUUUACUAACUGCCCUCUUAUCAUCCACAAUGCUUGCAAAUCUUACUCAACCAAAACGUAGACCUUUUCGAUGCCUCUUCUCAGGAAUAAACGCGUCCAACACUUUGCCAUGGAACUCAGAGAUUUUCCAUGGUCCCUUCCAAUGAAAACAAGAAGCAAGAUUAGAAACAUAAACUGAAAUCACCAUUUUCUCUAAGGAUUUAGCCUAGUAAUAGUUAACAGUAACUCCACGGAUCUGAUUAAAAGCACAAGUUAAGUGAAUUACCAAGAACAAUGUUCUUCAAUACUAUUCCAAAUUCAAUUUUGGAACUUCUGUUAUCAUAGCUUUCAACUGUUUGAAACUCUGAUGGCAUUAUUCAAUCGUACAUAACUAACAUUUUCUGUAGCAACUUCGUCAUGGUAGAGCUAUCAUCGACAAGCCUGAACAAAUUGUCUGUAGUAUACAAUAAAUCCUAGAGAACUACCUAUUUCUAUAUUAUUUCCCAGAGAUUCCUUAAUUCACAUUUAUCAGGAGAUCAUUUGAAAUAACUCAAAUAUCUUCUGCUGUUACUAAAAUGUUUAGAAAACUUAUUUCUUGAAAUUAAAAUUCACAUUUGUUGAUGUUCACAAAUAAUUAUUUCUCUUGUAAUACCUGUAACACUGUUUUUCCAAUACUAAUCGUGUUCAAUUUUUUUUCUUCACAUGAAUUGAGUAUCUUUAAUUAUAUAGCAACAACUCUGAUAAGAUAUAAAGUGACUAUGCAAUUGAUAACCAUAUACAAUAAUCAACAUUUGACUAAACUUUGCAACCUAUACAAGUUUUUGUGGGAUUUCGACAAAAUAUAAACAAAAACCUCGAGAAGAAACUUAGAACAUAUUUACUCAUCCAUGGCAAUUGAUUGAAAAUAUUUGGGUUGUUGUCUAGCUCAUAAUCGUAUACAAGGUCAAUACCAAAUUCUAGCACAGAUAAAUCUGAAAGAACUCGAAGACUAACAUGAUCACCAGCUUCUAAUUCAUCACCCCUAAAGUUCCAACAAGUCGUCCAGUAUAAGGUAUUCUUAGUUUCAGGAAUUCCCAUGAAAUGUUUGGAGUAGGUCCACUUUGUACCUUUUGUCUCGUUCACAAUUUCAAGGCAUGGUAAAAAUCCAUAUGUUUUAUCAUUCUUGGCAGAAAAAAUGAUAAUCGAAUUUAAGAAGCAACUUAUGUUUUGACUAGAGUUUGGGGGCACUGAUAUUGAAACCUCAGUCUUGCCAGCUUGAUGGCCAUAGUAAUAACCACUGUAAUCAAAUGGCACUGGAUCAAAUGUUGUAAUUAUACCGUAAUCAUAUAAUACCUGUAGCAUGGGUUGGAGAAUGAGUUAUUAAAAAUUAUAUAGUAUAUAAAUAAUUUUAAAAACUUGGAACUUGUAAAGGGAACCUGUGGGGAAGCAACCAUUUUUGAUUCUUCUAUAUAACUGCAAAAUUGCACUUUAGUAUUUCCAUAAGAUUCCAAACUGAGCAAGUGUUUAGUUUGGUCCAUCUUGAUAUGUCUUGUGGAAACUUCAUCUCCUAAAAUAUAUACAAUAAUGUGUUAUUUAUCAAUUUUAGUGAUCAUCAACAUAAUAUGCUUAUUAGAAAGUAAUAAUAUUGACUUGAAUGGAGUGAUAAUUAAAGCUUUUACCAGACACUCAUUUGACACGAAUUCAAAUCGUGACCCAUCUCCCAUACUCAAUAUUGUAUGAAAAAAAGAUAUCAAAGUAGUAAUGUUAUUAUCACUAAGAUGUAUUAUAAGACUUGUAAGAAAUAAUCAAUUAUACACAUUAUAUCUUUAUUUUUCAUUUUUAUAUAAAAUAUAAACUUUAAAACUAUUAAAUAUGUUAAUCAAAACACCACUUUUAUAAUUUUAUCCAUUAUUUUAGUUUCCACUUCUAUUAGUACUAUUGGAUUAAUCAUUUAUCAAACAAUUAACUUAUUUUCAUUAGACCCCAAUUGCAGCAUAACUUUAUAAUUAUCACUUUAUUAUUAAGCUAAAUUUCUCUCAUAAUCUAUUAAAUUGUCACAUUUCUUGAUAAUAUUUUUAUUGUAUUAGAAAGUCUUUUAGAGAAACAUUCAUCAUUUCUUGAACAUUUGUUAGUCACAUAUAAAAUAAAUAUAAUAGGAUGUAUUUACUAAAAUAUAAUUAUUUGAAGUCUACUCAUACCUGUAGAUAAGUGCGAAAAGCCAUAUUCAUAUUUAAUGUUGUGUUUUGAUUCAUAAGUAACGCCAAAUUUUCUUAUGCUGAGAUGCAUAGGCACUACCAUGCAACUCACAAGGUCACCACCUUCAAACUGAAAGUCCGUUACUGGCCAAUGAAUCAACCACAACAUUGUCUUAUCGUUAGUCUGAGGAAUUCCAAUGAAACUUGAGCGAUAUCUCAGCAUGAUCGUUUUGGUCUCAUUGAAAAUGUGGACACAUGGUAGAAACUCCGACAUUUGAUCACUAGCUAAAGAGAAAACAAUGCAUAAGCUGAACCAAUGGAUCUUUUCAUCUGGAUGAGCUGGUGUUGGCAAAAAAAAAGAGAUUCGAUGCUCGUUAGUGCCAUGCUUAAACCAAAUCGGAAUUUCACUUCCUACAACAAAUGUGCUUGUUAUACCACGUUCUUGCAAGACCUGAUCCAAAAACAAAACAAGUUAGAUGAUUUAGUAUAAGAGAAAAAAUAGAUUUAAAAUUUAAGUUGGAGAACUAUUGGACCUGUGGGGUAGCUAGCAUUAUGCUGUCUGUUAGGUAGCUAUAAAGUUGCAGUCGAUUUCCGUUAAUGGAAUCUACGUUGAAUAAUCUUCUAAUCUCUUCUGCUUCAAAGUUUUCAAUUGGUUCCAACUUGAAUAGAUCUUCAACCUCAGUCAAUUUUUCACAUCCAAAAAUAACACAUCGUGUGGAAGAAAAGAAGCAUGGAACAUUAUUUAUCCCAGAUCCUCGAAAUGGAGAAUUGUCUCCAAAAAUAAACUUGCACUCUGAAACAUUGAGCAAGACCGAAAGCUUUGGGAUCAUUUGGAGUUCAGUGCAAGAAGUCAAUAGAAGUUCUUCAAGUUUUGUAAGGUUUUUUAAGCUUUCGGGUAGGUAAUGAAUUGGGUUUCUACUUAAAUUUAAGGAUUUCAAGGAAGCCAAGUUACAAAGAUCAUUGGGCAUGACAUCAUUAGAUAAUUUGCAACUUUCAAGGCUUAACUUUACCAAAGAGCUCGGUAGAGAUGCCCAAGAGAAACCCAAUCCUUUGCUUCUUUUCAGUAAGAGCCAAUGCAACCCCAAUCUUGAUUGAUAUAUGGCAGUUUCAUCUAAAUUAAGCACCUUCAAUGAUUCCAUAUUAUGCAACUCCCUAGGAACAUCAUCAAGUCUUGAACAACCAGAUAAGAUAAGCUCUUCAAGUGAUAUUAAUGAACCAAUUGUCCUUGGAAGAUGCCUAAGACUUGUGCAAUCUUUAAGGUUCAAGAAAGUAAGCAGCUUUAGCUCACCAAUGGAUUGAUCAACUUCCACCAAAUUUAUGCAAUCUUUGAGCAUCAACUUCUCAAGGCUAGGGAGUCCUGAAAAGGUUGGGGUUUUAAGAAGGCUAUGUGAAUGGUUGAGAUUAAGGAUCUUUAAAUUUGGGAGGCACUGCAAAAAAGGAAAACCCUUCAUUUAUAUAUUAUUGUUUCACACACACAGAAAAAGAAGGAAAAUUAGUAUAUAUCAUACCUCUGUAUCCUUCCAAACUUGUUUAAGUUUACUGUUGCGCAUGUCGAGAACAACUAUUUCAUUCAUAUCAAAAUCCACCGGAAAAGAUUGCAUACAAAACCCACGCCAACGUAACCAUCUUAAUCUUUUGGGAAAGUCUUUGAAGUCUCCUUUAAGUCUUACAUAAUCCAGUUGAAGCAGUUUAAGUCUCUUCAUCUUUGCAAAUGCUUGAGUUUCCAUAUCAACAUCAUUUGACAUGAGAAACUGACUUUUGGAAUGCUUUGGAAAAUGUAGAGUUGUAUUUGUCCUUUUAGCCUUGUCUUCUAGCAAUCCUUUUAGGUCAAGUGUGAGGCACUUAACUGUUCUGGAACCCUGCAUCAGAAAAACUUUUUUAAAAAAUAAAAAGAAAUUUGAUAAUAAAAAAAAAAAGUAGUUUACAUGCACACAAGAAAAAAGUUGAGUAAAACGAUGUUUCUUACAAUUUUUUCUCUUAUUACAUCAAACGCGUUCUUAUGCCACAAUCUGCUUCGUUUCCCAAUAUCAGAAGAUUCUUGACGAAUAAUUUCUUGUCCCAUAUCUCUAAUCAUUUGGUGCAUCAUUAGCUUGUUUUUUUCAUUAAUGAUUAAGAGAGACCUGCCUACUAGAUUUUCAAUCCCAAUUGUUGUAUAGAAAUCACAACCAUCUAGAAUUGUAGUCGUGUAAUCUCUAUCCUUCCCAAUGAAUAAACAAACUAUGUCAAGGAAUAAAUUUUUGUCAUGAUCGUCUUCCAAAGAAUCAUAGCUUAUUCUUAGAAUCUCUUGAAUUUUGCUGUCAGGGAUUUCUUCCAAUUUCUCCAAUGCACUUUUCCAAGAACUCACACUUUUGCUAGAUAAUGAAGAGCCCAAAACUUGAAGAGCUAACGGAAGCCCACCACAGUGUUNNNNNNNNNNNNNNNNNNNNNNNNNNNNNNNNNNNNNNNNNNNNNNNNNNNNNNNNNNNNNNNNNNNNNNNNNNNNNNNNNNNNNNNNNNNNNNNNNNNNACUUCUUGCAUAUGCCAUUAAAGUUUCAGGCACAGAGUUAUGACCAAAAGCAUACCAAUUAAAAAGUUGCAGCGAUUCACUUGAUGCUAAUUCUUUUACUUCAAAUAGCUUGCUUAAGCCUCCACAACUAGUUGAUGCUUCCAACUCAAACAUUUGGCUUAUAAAAUGUGCAUUCAAUAGGCAUCGGUUUCUACUAGUUAUGAUGAUUUUACUUCCCGGAUGAAAAGGAAUUUGAGUUCCCAUUAAUUUUCUUAUUUUUCCCAAUUCAUCAACAUCAUCAAGAACAAGAAGAACUCUUCUACAACAUACAAUUUCUUUAAUCUUGUUAAUUCCAUUAUCUAUAUUGUAUAUUUUAUGUGAUUUUCCUUUAAGGAUAUCUGAAAUAAGUUGUCUUUGCAAACGGACUAAACCAUUGCAAUCUUGACUUGUUUCUCUAACAUCAGCAAGGAAACUAUAACCUUCAAAACUCGGGAUGUUUUGAUUGUAAACAACUUUAGCAAUGGUUGUCUUCCCAAUGCCUCCAAUGCCACAAAUAGUUGCAAUGCCAACUUUAUUUGCUCCAUCUUGUUCUAACCAUUGAUUAAUUUGUGUCAUGAGAGAAUCUAUUCCAACUAAAUAAGGAGGGACAUACAAAGAAAUAAGAUGAAGUUUAUUUUGAACUUCAUUAACAAUAUCUUGAAUGAAUUGUGAUUCAUGCCUGCAAAUUUAAAAAAACAACUUAAUGGUAAAAUCUUGGAAAUUAAGUAAAAGUUAGUAAUAUAUUUUCUCUUUUCUUGCAUAUAUUUUGAUUUUUUUAUGAGAUUAUAUGUUCAUGGUAAAAAUAAGAAACUAAUGCAACAUUUCGAUAUAUAUGUUCAAGUAAAAAUAAGAUCAAACUAAUGCAACAUUUCAACAUAUAUGAUACAUUCAAAAUCAAAUCAAAUCAAAUAAAGCAAAUAAAAAUUAAUGAAAUUCAUUUUAGAAAUAACCUAUACUCAAAAUUUCAACUUUCUCUUUAUGAAAGUUUAAUAAAUUCAUGUUAUUUACAUGAAUUUAUAUAUUUAUUUUUUAUUCAUUGUAAUACUUUGAAUAUGUGUAGACCUAUUAUACGAAUAACUUGGAUAUAAUUGUUGUAAAUAUACUAUUGCAAAAUAGAAAAGUUACAGGAGACCAAACUGAAUGUAAAUAAAAUAAGAAUCACUGUGUUGUGGAAGAACCACUGCAUUAAAGGCAAAUUCACCCUGAUCGGUGUAAUUAUGUAGUAGACGUUACCCCCCAACACAAUACUCCAAUAUUUGUACACCCGAAUAAAGAAGGUGGAACACAAUUGACAUUACUCUUCCCGGAAAAAAAAAUUUCAAUUCUCAAGAAAGAUUAAAGGGGUCACAAAUAGUCCCGCUUAAAACUUAAUCUCUUAGACAGAAUUUCCCUCUCGUGUAAUUUUGCAGAACACUAGAAUUUAGAGAACAUAGAGAAGUUUUUUUUUCUCUUGUUGUGUUAGGUGAGAGAAUGGCCUCCUAUUUAUACAAAUUUUUGAUGGGCAAAUGGUAAAAUAACAGUUUUUGUUUCCAAAAACAGCAAAGAAUUUUCCUAACUGAAAAUAUUCUAAAAAUAUUUUAUGCAACAGUUAGAGAAUUUUCCGCAAUUAAAAAUAUUCUUUCGCAUUACCAACAAUGACAUCUUAGAAAACCACAAAUAGUGUCAUUAAAUUCAAGAGACUAUUUCUUUUUGUUUUCAACUCGUCAAAUUCAAGUUGUUCAUGUGAUAGGUGCAAACACAUUUAAAAUUUGAUCUAUGUGUUUUAAAAACAUCCCACAUCAAAUUCGAGCUAACAUUUAAUGCUUAAGCUGAUGACUUAUUUGAUAGAAAGACCUCAAUGAUACAAUACUAAUAUUUUAAUGACUCAAUUAAAACAUGUUAAUGUUUGAGAAAUAAUUUAAAAUCUGACUUAUAAUUAACCCUUUAAAAUAGAUUGAAGUAAUCAUUUUAAUUUCCAAACGCUACCUAACAAUAUUUUCUAUUAAUUUUCUUUCUACUCUAUCAAGUCUUAAUGAAAAGGAUUGAAGUAGCCAUAUGGAACUUGAUUAUGUGUAUAAUGUACCUGUCUUGUAGAACCAUGCCUCCUAUAGCCGCAACUUCUUUUAAAGCAUUCCUCCAUCUUUGUACCAUGUUGGUUUCGGACUUGAAGUUUUGUUCAUGUUGGGUAAAUGCUUCUGCGUAACUUCCCGUCUGGUUCUUGACUUGACUCGGAUCCACAUCAUAGAAAACUGGCAACACAAUAUGUUUAGAGGAUUUCUUGUGCUCCAAUAUCAUUACAAGUUCGUUAAGACACCAUGUGGAUGCAGCAUAAUUCUUUGAGAAAACAACGAUAGAAAUUUUGGAGUGGUGUAGUAUUGCUUUUUCAAUUUCAUCUUUUAUGUUAUUCCCUCUCUCGAUUUCCUCAUCAUCUCUAAAUGUUUGAAUUCCUAAGUGCACCAAAGCUGUGUAAAGAUGAUCCGUGAAACUUUUGCGCGUAUCUUCACCUCUAAAACUCAAGAAUACAUGAUAACUACAUCGCGAGAUUUCUGACAUUGCCAUUGACGAAGAAAAUGAAGUCGUCCUGUAUUUUUUAUGUAAUAACAAGGUUCCAGCAUAUAUAUAUAUAUAUAUAUAUAUGAAUGGCAAAGCAGAUAUUAUUAGCAGUCAAGUGGCAGUUCCCAAUCCAUGGUGGGUCAAUCCUUCCAUAAGUUCAUACAACUGCCCGAAGAAAUUCAUGUCGGCCAUGUUGUUUUUUUCCAAAUCUACCAACGUGAGUUACGUAUUCUAUAUUACUAAUUUUGCGUGAAAAAUACAAUGUAUUGAUUAACGUGAUGGUUAUAGCUAACACAACACGUAAUAUAGCCAUCAUCUUCAGGCUAAUAUUAGUAAAAAUGCUAUGGUUCUUGUAUUUUAAGUCAUAUUAUAUUUUGUUUCCUCUACUUAGAAAAUAGUAAAUUAGUUCUUUUGUUAAAAAAAUUAUCCAUUGUUAUUGUUAAAAAUUGGUCCAUGUAAUCAACAUGAGGUAUAUGCGACAUGCCACAUGCAACUAUCUGGUUAUUUCGUCAUUCACGUUAGUUUUUAAAUUUGUUAUUUUAUCUAAUGUAUAUGGACUAAUUUGUUUGUUUUUAAAUAAAAUGGGUUAAAUACAAUUUGACUCUCAAUAGAAUGAUCUCCUUGAUACUUUUACUAGCUAAUGAUUUGGUAGAUACAGUCAAUAAUUAAACCACAACCACAAUAUAUCACAUAGACAUCACAUUAAACAUUCAAGUGUUGUACGUGUAGUGAGGACAUGAAUUUGGUUAGCAUAAGAAUUCAAGUAAAUAUAUGGUUUACCGAACUUAUAUUAUAAUUAAUGUAAUUAUAAUUUUCGGUUUAAAAUAUUAUUAUAUUUUUUAAUUCCUAAAAACCCUAAAACAAAAGGAUAUAUAUAUAUAAUCCCGUUUUCUUUGUUUGGGUCUAGCAGCCGUCAAAGAAAAAUAACUCUCAAAAUUGUUUUGGGGAUUCCUUCCGUUCGUAUUGAACUGGGUGGAUUACGUAGAGGCCGGGAUCACGAUAGAUUGCGGCUUGGUUCGACAGCAGAUCAGACUACUCGUUGUUGAGGUGUUGUGUCUACUCUUAAUAAACAUUAGGUAAUUUCGUAACCUUGAUCACCCCAAUUCGUUCCUCACACAUGGAUCCAUGGUAAGGGUCGCCGAUUUUAAUUUUUUUCGCUGCGCCGUAGGGGUGCCGGCGAUCCAACAUCAAGUUCGGUAUAAUAAAGAAACAAUUUUAGUAUCUAUGCAUGAAUGAAGAAUUAAUUGUUUUUGAAAAAGAAUUGGUGAUUAAAAUGAUCAGGUCGUCAAUUGUUUAUUUGAUUUGUUCGUGUUAUCUAAACUAAAUAAAUUUUUAAAAAUUAAAAAUAAUAAAAAUUCAACGAAUAUUCUUAUCAUAUGUAUUUUAAAAUUUUAAUAUAAUUAAUCAAAAACAAUUCACAUAUAUGAAUCAUCAAAUUUGACGUGCUUAGAAAUCCAUAUGUGAUAGCCUGAUGAUUAAGGUUGUUCAUCACCCUAAAUGUGACCUAAAUUUGAAUCGCACUAUUUGCAUUGAUUAUUCGAGUUUUACUUAAUAUUAUAAUUCAAAAAAAUUAACUUACUUAAAUAAAUAUUGAAUUUUGUCACAUUUAAUAUAGAGGACAUAAGAGGAGGAGAAUAAUUCCCAAGUACUUGGCGUGGAAAAUAGUGGUACUAGAAAACGCGUUUCAAUUACUUUUCAUUUUGGAGCCAUGCUUACGUUCCAAGACUUUAGGCCAUUAGCAAUUAAAGAGGGGCCCCAACAAAAUUAUGGCCCAACUGUUUCACCGAACAUAAUAAAUUCGUGGGCUAACCAAUUUCAGUGCAAUAAAAGUAGUGAAGAGGAUGGGUUGGUAAUGCAAAGUAGAAUCCCUCGUUGCAGCCUUCAAAUUUUUUGGUUCACAAUAUUUUAGGAAGAACUCAAUUCAAAUAAUAUUUUUUUGUGAUUGUUUUUCUCAAUAAUAUUAUCUUUAAAAUUUAGAUCUAUUUUUUAAAAAGUAUAAUAUAACUUACCAUUAUGUCUAACACUUACUAAUUAUUCAAAUAAUAAUAUUAACAAAAAGGUUGAGCACCAAAUGGUUUGAUAAGUACUAACAAGCUCAUGGGAUCUAAAGUCUAGAUCGAGUAGCACUAUUAUCCAAAACAUAGUGAAGCAUAUUAAUUCUUUCUCCGACGUUUGUUAUAGAGAACUCUACAACCUAGUGCUACUAAUUAUCAAUCUUAUUGUUGUGACUCCAUAACUAAAAUUUAGCUGAUCCCUUCAUUCAAGAGUGUAAUUAUUCGAAUAGGAUCAUGUCUCUUUUACGGUGGAACGCUAAUUCAUUUUAUUACAUGGAUUUGUUCAUAAAAAUUCUCUUAAAAUAUCAAACAAAUAUCAGUUAGAUGUUCUGAUUUAAAUAUUUAGUUUUUAAGAGAAUACAUUCUUACUUCAUUAUGCCUCCUUGAAGAUUUAUGUCAAAUCCAAAUUGAUGUGAGUUGGUAGCCAUAUAUUUUUAUUUUUAAGGAUUUUAGUCUCUCUUUUUUUAAUAUUUCAAAACUCAAAUCUAAUUGUUAACCCUGUUAUUUUUUUGUUAAAUUCAUGUUAAUUACAACAUCAUUUUUGUAAUUACAUGGUUAACAAAUAAGUUUUUUUUUUUAAUUUCAAAAUGCAACCCUAACACAUUUAACAAAAAAAUUUAAAAUGUUAACCAACAGAAACUAAAGAGACUAAAUCUCUAGAAAUAAAAGUACGUGUUCUAAACUCCAAAAUUUUUAAAAGUACAAGAACUUAUGACAUAUUUUAACCUUUUAACUUCUAGGUCGAGAUACUCAUCCAAUCCCCGCUCGAGAUUUGGGAGGAUUUAGACAAAAUUAUCAAGCUCGAAAAAUGGACUUGGACAAAAAGUUAGUCCAAUUUAAAAUACGAGUCGGGAUCGGGCAUAAAAAUUCAAGGCUCGAGUCAUUUACUAAUUUUCUAAUAAAUUAUUUUAUGUUAUUUUUAAAAUUAUAUAAUUUAUUUCAGAAAAUAAAUCUAUAGUAAUACAUAUGAUACUAUAAUGUAAACAUUAAAAAAUGUUAAGAUGUCUAUAUAAAAUGUUAAGAAAUUUGGGAAAAUAUUCAAUUCAAUCAGGCUCAAAACAAUUUGUGGGUCAAUUAAUUUAACAUCUCUAUUCAAAUCGACAAUGGCGAAACCUAAUAGAGGCCCAGGGGACCAUGACACCCCCAAGGAUUAAUUUUUUUGCAAUUUAGCCCUUUGUAGAUAUACUAUGGCCUAAGUUGCCCCCCAAGUUUAAGAUUUUUUGCAAUUUUCCAAAAAUACUGCUUCUUUUGGAUCGAUUAUCAUGUUGGAAUAGUGCUUCUUUUGAGUCAAUUCUUUAUAUGUUUAAAUCGAUUGUCAAGUUGGAACACUACUUCUUUUGAAUCGAUUGUGUAUAUGAUUAAAUUGAUUGUUAUGUUGGAAUACUGCUUCUUUUUAAUUGAUUGUGUAUAUGAUUAAAUCGAUUAUUAUGUUGGAAUAUUACUUCUUUUGAAUCGAUUGCUUAUAUGUUUAAAUCGAUUGUUACAUAACACAUCUAAUUAAUUUGUUCUUUGCUUCUUUGAUUGUUGCGUAGCAUUUCCUUUUAUUCUCUACUUCUUUGAUUGUUGGUUGUUUUAAAUCGCUUCUUUUCCUAAAAUGAUAAGGGACCAAAUGAAUUUAUGUUGGAGUUUGAAUCGAUUCUUUGCUUAUUUCAAUUGAUUGUUUGUUGUUUUGAAUUAAUUCAUUAUUGUUUGAAUUGAUUCAAACUCCUACAUAAAUUCACUGCUGAUAUUCAUUUGGUCCCUUUCAAUAUUGACUUACACAGGUGUAUGUAAGUUAUUUUUCCCUCAAACCUCCUGUUGUACGUGUGAAGCAAGCAAAGGUAUAUUUACGGUUGUUCUUACUCUAGAAGAGAAAUGAUUCCUCAUACUUUAUACAGUGUAUUUACAUAUUUGCCCUCAACCGAAUAUUGAGGGAAUCUCCCUUCACUUUUGACACGUUCGAUAGAAAGUUUAAGGGAAAACAACUAAUUUACACCGGUGUAUAUAAGUAUUGAUAACUCAUUGAUACCAAAUGUUUAGAUCAAAUCGAGAAAUCAUUAUAUAUUAUUUUCCUAUACUAUGUGUUAUGUUUAUUAAUAAAACAUGUUUUUAAUUUAAAUGAUAUACUAAAAACUGCUCAUCCACACAAUCAUUGAUAUGUUGAUUUAGGAUCCAAACUUGAAUCAUAUAUUCUUACGUAGUGAAACUAAAAAGGGCCUCAUCGCCAUUCUCCAUCUAGUCCUAUAUAUUCAUCUGUUCGGAAGCAACCAAACUUAACAAAACACCAUGAAAGCAUAAUCGAUAUUUUUUCACUUUUAAGAAAUAUAAGUUGUUAAUAAUAUCAAACCCAAUAAUACAAUAUAUCAACAAUCAGAUCAAAUCAACAACCAUACCACAAGCAAAAAGAUAAAAUCAAUUCAUUAGGAAGGGUCUUCCACCUCAUUAUCUGCAUGAUUUUCAUAUGAAUCCAGUUGCAAAGUAACGGUGUUUAACACUUUGAAUCGAUUCAUUAUUGUUUAAAUUGAUUCAAACUCCAACGUAAAUUUACUGUUAAUAUUCAUUUGGUCCUUUAUCAAUACUUGCACAACAUUUGUCCCUUAUCAAUACUUGCACAAAAAUAACUUGUGAGUACUGCUUUUUUCGAAUAGAUUGUUUAUAUGUUUAAAUUAAUUGUCAUGUUGAAAAAUUGUUUCUUUUGAAUCGAUUAUUAUGGUGGAAUACUACUUUUUCUUCUUUUGAAUCGAUUGUUUAUAUGUUUAAAUCGGUUGUUGUGUUGGAAUACUGUUGCUUUUGAAUCCAUUGUUUAUAUGUUCAAAUUGAUUGUUAUGUUGGAAUACUACUUCUUUUGAAUCGAUUGUUUAUAUGUUUAGAUCAUUUGUUAAGUAGCACGUCUAAUUUUAGCUUGGCCCCCAAGAUUAACAUCCUGGCUCCGCCACUACGGAUCAAUAUAUUGGUCAAUUCUUGAUUCAACUAAUCGACUAAUCCUAUUUAAUCCGAUUUAAAUAACUACGUCAAAUUUAUACAUAUUUCUAAAAUAAUAUGUUAGUGUAAAAAUAUUUAAUCAAUUUGAGUUAUGAAAUUGUGGUCUAACAAUAGUUUUGGGUGUCUUAUAAGCUCAAAAUUUUCAAAUUAUGCUGGUGUCCAUUUGUGCUUUAUUUUUGGUACAAGUUCUUUUUGGAGUUAUACCAUAUAUUAUAUAAUUUAAAAUAUUCUUAAAAAAUAGAUUGAAGUAAAUUAAGCCUAAAACUUAAAUGUUUAAGUCAAAGCUUAAUUGAUAGUUUAAAUGAGAUUAUUCUUUUUUUAAAAACUCAUUUUUUUAAUUUUAUCAAACCGCCUCUAAAAAAUAAAUAAAAGAUGGUUGUUAGCCUUUUCCUAUAUAUGAGCAACAAUCUUUGGGCAGAGUAUAAAAGAUAGUUUUUAUAAAAAAAAAUUACGGAAUUAAAGUAUCUGAUUUUACAGUAGUGAUUAAUCUUUUCAUCACGACUGCUUUUUAAAAGGUAAUAUGUAAAAAAUAAAAUUCAAUAAAAUGGUAAUACAUAAUUUACUUAUAAUUAUGGUACGUUUAGUUCGUUAGAGUGAAAUAGAAUUGUAAUUGAAUGAAAUAAAUAUGAUAAUUUGGUUGGGUAGAAUGAAUGAGCUGGUAAUAAUAUUUUUGUAUCUUGAUUUAAAAAAAUGAUAGUAAAAAUCAUCUGAAAAUAAGAUGAAAUUCAAAGUACAACACCAAGUCGUCAUCAAGCAGUGUACAUCUCCAAAUUACUAUAUUGAUUAAUAAUAAUAUUGAAUAAAUAAGACAUAAAUAACCUUCAAGAUUCAAUCCUUCAAGUUUUCUUUCUCCUUUAUUUACUUCAAUUUUAUAUAUGAUAUUUAGAUUUAUUAAUGGGUUAAGUUAUUGAUCCAAAUUUAAAAGAUUGUUUAAAUUUUGGAGGAGUUUUGAUAAAAUUAUUAAACCCUAAAAAUAGGAUUGGGCAAAAAAAAUUAAACUUGUUUAAAAUAUGAGUUGAACUCAUAUAUGAACAUUUAAGGUCUGAACUAGGCUCGGUCCAUUUUUAAAAUUUGUAAUUUUUAUAUUAUAUUAUUUUUAUAUAUUAUGUAAAAUAUAAUACAAAAAUUAAAUCUAUAGUAAUAUAUAAUAUCGUAAACAUUAAAAAAAAUUAAGAAGAAUACAUAUAUAAAAGUUUAAUAAAUAAAAUAUAUAAAUUAUUAAAUAGUAUUAAAAAUAAUAUAAAUAAUUUUUAAAAAUAAUAAUAUGGGUGGAUUUAAAAUGGAUUUGGGUUAACUAUUUACAAGUAUGGAUGGGCUUAAACAAAUUUUAGAUACAUAUUUCAGACUAGGUCUAGUCGAUCUUGACAACCAAAAUAUGUGUUAACAUCAUGCUUAAUUCUAACCCAAACUCAACCCGAUGCAUAGGGGAAAAUGUUUAAACUUCAAACGAUAUUAGUGAAAUAUGAUUAAUUUUUAAAUAUUUUUUAAAUGGCUUAUAAGUAAAACAUUUUUAUUAGUUUGAAGUGUUGUGAGUUUAAUACUCUCUCUAAAUUGAUUCUUAAUCAAUUUUUAAUUAAACCAGUUUGACCAAUCGAUCUGAUUUGGUUUAGACAACUUUGAUUAUAUGAAUUUGAAGCUGUUGAAGUUACAACUGAUAUUAAAAUAAAUCGAAACCUUCUCGGUCUCACCAAACUUACUCUAAACUAAGAGCAUAAAAAAUAAAAUAAAAAUAAAAAAAUCCUCCUCUAAACCAUGCAGUGCCAGCAAUCAUGAGAUCUGUUAGUGAAACAUUCAGUAGAAACUAUAGAUGACAACAAGUGGGAACCCUCACCUUGUCAGAGAUCAUGGGAAGUAUUGAACUCUUAUAAUUAGAAUAAUCAAGUUCCACUAAAAAUAACGAUAUAAAAACGCAUACCAUGAACAUGCAGUUCAUAAUAUUCUUUGAAGUUUUAGACUCUUGACAAUAACUAGAAAAGUCAAACACAAAUACAGUCUGUAUCUUCAGUUCAUAAACAUCCCAAUAAACCAUUGGGAUUCAAACACAAAACCAUCACACAAACACAUAUUGUCUGCAUCUUCAGUUCAUAAACAUCCCAAUAAACCAUUGACAUUCAAACACAACC
rnacentral:lncRNA from 1 species